GAGAGAGAGGGUGAAAAGGCCAAGCUUUGGGCUUCGUACGAACAUUAGACCUAUUUUCAAAAGUACGAACAUUAGGUCUAUUUUCAAAAUAAUGCGUUAAUCAGUAACUCGGAUCUAAGAAUAAAAAUCUUAUCUAACUUUGAUGAAAAAACUUUGGCAAAAGCACGCUUCAAAUGUCAAAAGUUAGCACAAAGAAAUAUUUAAGUGCCAAAAGUUACGAUAAUGACACUUAAGUGCCAAAAUCGAAAAGAAAUUGAUGACUUAAGUGCUAAUCCGGCCAAAAUCCGACGAAAAUGUUGACGUGUGCAAUUUUCGAUGAAGUAAAUGCAAAACGGCGUUGUUUUACACGGUGAUGUGGCCAGACAAUGCAAAAACAAUGUUAUUUUGGUGCUGAUGUGGUAAAAAAUUAAUAUAAAAAUUAAUUUAAUUUAAUUUAAAAUUAAAUUUAUAUAAAACAUUUUAAAAUUAAAAUACAAAUUUUAAAAAAUUUUAAAAAAUUUUAAAAAAAGGGAGGCGGCUGAGCCGCUGCCGCCUCCCCACCACCGCCGGGAAGGGUUACGCGCACGGAGGGGGGAGGGUCACGCCGGUGNNNNNNNNNNNNNNNNNNNNNNNNNNNNNNNNNNNNNNNNNNNNNNNNNNNNNNNNNNNNNNNNNNNNNNNNNNNNNNNNNNNNNNNNNNNNNNNNNNNNCGGAUCGGGUACUUGGCUGUCGCGAGCCCUUGCCGCUGGAUCUGGGGGGGCUCGCGGCCCUCACCGCCGGUCGGCCAGGGUCGCCGGCCCCUGGCCAGGGCCCGGCCGACCCUCCCCCUGCCGUCACCGGCCCUUCCUAGCGGUGGCGGCUGAGGGCUGAUCCCUCAGCCACCCGUUCCCUUUUUUUUUUGUUUAAAUUUUUUAAAGUUUUUUAGAGUUUUUUUAAUAUUUUAACUAAAUUUAAUUUUAAAAUUAUUAUUUUUUAAAUAUUUUAACUAAAAUUAAUUUUAAAUUUUAUUUUAUUUUUUUAUUUUUUUACCACGUCAGCCCAAAACGACGCCGUUUUUGCAUUAUUUCGCCAUGUCAACGUGCAAAACGACGUCGUUUUGGGAGCGCUUCGCCAGAAAAAUGUCACGUCGGCGUUUUGGCCAGACUUUGGCCGGAGUGGCACUCAAGUGAUUCGUUUUUCUUCGAACGUGGCACUUAAGUGUACAUUUCAUAAGUUAUGACACUUAAGUGUCCCUUUGGCCAAAGUUAUGGCACUUGAAGCGUUCUUUUGCCUAGCCGGCUCAUAAAAGAUUCGUAAUCUCACUAAGUUACUUUUUGAUGUGGCCAUGCUAUCCUCAAACGGGAAUGGAGAUGCCGAAGCAUGUAGACCAAAUGCUUUUAUUUAGGGAGUUGAAUUCCAAGUCAACAUUAUGGAAAAAUUCAAGUCAACAAUGCGUUAGAUCAUGUCCGCUAAUUUCUAACCAUAUUAAUACUGCAUCACCAAAUUUUCAUGAAAAUUACAUAAAUAUUUCAUGAACUUUGGCCCAAUAUAUAAUAUUAUCCCUAAAAUUUUAAUUUAUUUAAUAUGGUCAAUGAAUUUUUAGUUCAUAUUCAAUCUAGUUCAUGGAUUUUUUGUACAUAUUCAAUAUAAUCACUGAAUUAUAUGAAAAAAUUUAGUAUCAUUCUUUCAAUAAUUCAAGUUUAUGGACAAUAUUAAAAGUUCAGAGACAACAUGUUCAGGGAUAAUGUUGUACAAAUUAAAAACUUAAGGGCGGUAUCGUGUAUUAGAUCAAAAUUAUGGGUCGAUUUCAUUUUAUUUUAUUUUUUUAAUUUUUAUCGAUUCAGGAAGGUAUGGAGGGUGACGCUUUUUAAGAAGUGGUAGUACGGAUUUGGAAAAAGAAAAAAAGAUGCUUUUCAUACAAAACUGAGCGAUGACAUUUACCCAAAAUAACACCUACCUCGGUCGAUCAAUAAUAGUCUCUCUCUCUCUCUCUCUCUCCCCUCUGUAAACUUUACCUCCCGACAGAGACAGACCAAUCCUGUUCCAUCUCGUGCGAUUCCUCGCACGUUCCCUCCUUCCCUCCUUCUUCUUCCUCGGACAGUCGUCGUAGGCGCGCCCCACUGAUCCGCCAACGCGACGAGGCGAAAUCCCCAGAUGGCUCCUCACGGCGACGGAUCGGGCGCUGCGGAGGAAGCCGCGGCCGGCGGAGCCGAGAAGCGUCCUGUUUCGACCAUCGUCAUCUUGAUCGGUACCUUAUUCAUUUCCCUUUUGGUUUCCGCCUCGUGGAAUCCUUUCGCGUCGUUGGGUAAUUCAUAACGCGUGUUUUCUUGGGUGUUUUUGCUUGGUUGAUUUUUGGGGUGCGUAGCUAUGCAAACUGAAGCGCUUCCGUGUCAACAGGUUUCAGCUCGUCGAGACAGACUCCUUGUGAGUUUCUCAUUAGCUGCUGAUGUUUGCNNNNNNNNNNNNNNNNNNNNNNNNNNNNNNNNNNNNNNNNNNNNNNNNNNNNNNNNNNNNNNNNNNNNNNNNNNNNNNNNNNNNNNNNNNNNNNNNNNNNNNNNNNNNNNNNNNNNNNNNNNNNNNNNNNNNNNNNNNNNNNNNNNNNNNNNNNNNNNNNNNNNNNNNNNNNNNNNNNNNNNNNNNNNNNNNNNNNNNNNNNNNNNNNNNNNNNNNNNNNNNNNNNNNNNNNNNNNNNNNNNNNNNNNNNNNNNNNNNNNNNNNNNNNNNNNNNNNNNNNNNNNNNNNNNNNNNNNNNNNNNNNNNNNNNNNNNNNNNNNNNNNNNNNNNNNNNNNNNNNNNNNNNNNNNNNNNNNNNNNNNNNNNNNNNNNNNNNNNNNNNNNNNNNNNNNNNNNNNNNNNNNNNNNNNNNUGACCCCCCCCCCAAAAAAAAAGGGAAUUAGAAAAUGGAAAAGACAAAACCUUUUGUGGGCAUUGGGAUGAUCGGAAACUAACUGCAAGUAUAUGUUCUUUUUAUCUCUUUGCCUGGGGUAAUAUGGUAUAGGCAAUCCUUGAUUCAUUCAAGAGAUUGAUGUUAGAUCUUUUAAGUUUCUAAAUUCUCAAAUUCUCUCUAUUUAGGCAUUACUUUCUUGCUUGAUAUUUUGCAUUAAGUUUGAUGUGUCAAUCUGAUAUGCCACAGAUUCCCUAAGGGUGUCCCUUGGGUUCGUUACCAUGGUACUUACAAAGACUUGAACAUAAAUUUGAUCUGGCCAGGAAAAGAUCCUUCAUCCGGUAUGUAGUUUAUCUGUGUUCCUCAAAACGAAAAUAUUUUACUUGCAAAAAGUAAUUUGGACUCGAGGGACUUUUGCUUGGUAAUAAUUGCUUAUGUUAUGUUUGAUACAUUGUAAUGCUGACAGGGGUCGAUAGUGUUGGCACAAUUUCUGCAUCCUUGGUGACUUAUGCUUAUGCUUCUAUUCAGGCAUUGCAGCCUGACCUAAUCAUAAAUGCCGGUACCGCUGGUGGCUUCAAGGUCUUUUUUUUUGGCUGUGAAGGAGUUGUAAUUGUAUUUUGUUUAUGAUCGUAUCAUCCUAUUCAUAUUAGUCCAAAGUGACUGUGUUCACAAUUCAUUGGUAUUGGUACAGUCCAGCCAAAAUAUGUUUUCAUUUAUUUGGCUUUCCCCUCUGUACCUAUUUAGACAUCUUGGUGUUGGAAGAAUGCACUAAGAAUUUAAUUGUAUAGCAUGCAUCAAUUCCAAUUUAGACUCCAAUUUUCUCUUUCUGAACUUUUCCUCAGCUCAAAGUUUACAUUUCCAAUAGCAUGCGGCAUACUAAUUUGUGUUUAUUCCCAUUUGCCACAGGCUAAAGGAGCGAGCAUCAGCGACGUGUUUCUGGCAUCUGAGGUUGCUUUCCAUGAUAGAAGAAUACCAAUCCCAGUAAGUCAUUUUUCAUUAUACUGGUGUCAUUUGGUUGUUAAAAUGCUUAUUUGGAUAUCAUUUUCUAGCACUUGACAUAAACUAGAUGGGAUCUUUUUCAAAGUUUGGCAGGUGCUGACAAAACGGUGACAGUUGUGUGACAGCGCAUAGCAUUAGGUUGCUUAUCAAUGUUUCUUGCCCCAAACAGCAUAGUGUCUUUAAGUAUGUGGUUGAUCCUAAUGUCAGAAAGACAAGUGUGAGCUGUUUAUUCAGUCUUGUCUGCAUUACGUGCCUUACCUCUUGUUUCCAGAUCUUUUUGCUCAGUAAUGAAAAUUUUCUCAUGUGUAUACAUUCCCUUUCUUUCUUGGUGCUAGGUCCAUGAACAUUCAUGCUGAUGCUGCUACUAGCUUUGUUCUUGGUCAAAAACAUAUAGUUGAAGCUGCUUUUGUGCCUCCAAUGUCUUCUGCAGGUUUUUGAUCUGUAUGGAGUUGGGUUGCGACCAGCAUUUUCAACACCAAAUCUUGUAAAAGAGCUCAACUUGAAGGUAAUUCCAUGCCUUGAUUGACAGAGUUCUCUUGCUUAAAACCUCAGAACUGUUUACUUGGUGAAUGUAUUUUUCUUUUCUUAAUUGAGUUUGUCUGGACUUUUGGAAUCACAAAAGGAAAUGGCCCAGUUGACUGGGAUGGCCAAGACAUAAAAAGUUUAUGUUGUGAAUGCUAUUUUUUCCAAGAUAACCUGUGGUUAGUUAAGGUCAACCUUUGACAAAGUAAACUUUGCCAAUGUUACAUUUUUGUUCUCUUUCAAUAAAAAGAACCUCUCACACUUCUAGGAUAUUAUAAGACAGGUUAUUAUCUGAUAAAUAUAUCCCUUUAUUGUUCAAGAAGCUCUGACAAGUGGUCUAACUGAACUGUAGUUCUCUGUUAAUGUUGGUCAGAGGUUGACUGAGGAAGAGGAAAAUGUCAAGUUGAUAUAGUUACGGAAAAUCAUCUUGAGAAACUCUUUUCUUCUUCUUCUUCUCCUUUUUUUUUUUCCGGCUGUUUUCCCAGGGUCUUGCUGCUUAAUUUUUGCAAAAGUAUCUCGUUACUGUUUAUUGGAAUAUUGUCUAGACACAUGCGUCACCUACUUGAUGCUCCCUGGGCCUGUGGUUAUAUGAUUAGUAGUUUCUAUGAUGGGGGCUUCUACAAUACUUGUAGCAAGUCCCUCAGGAUGGGUUUGUUAGCGAAACAAGAUUUUCUUCAGCCAUAUCCUUACUUUCUGAUGGGCCUAGAGGCUGCUUUUCCUACCAGGGCAUUUCUAUUCCUGCAUGGAUGCUUAACGUGGCAUUUUUCUUGUUAGACUAGAUAAUAUCCUUUUAUGAAUGUGAAUUUAACUUUUUGGAUUCUUCUAUCUUCAAAUGCUAUCUGGCUAAUUUAGAGCUAUUCGUAAACUUACUCUUUUCUCAAAUGUAGAGUUAUUAUAAUUGAAUCCCUCAUAGUCAAGGUUUAUCUGCAUUCACUUGCAGAAUAUGGUAAAUCCUGCCUCUCUUUCCUUUGCCAAGCAGUAUGCAACCGUUAAGGUCAUCUAGUUUCUGUGCUGAAUAAUGCAUUUGACUUUUGAAAGGAACUUGGAUCAGAUAGAGUGCACGUAUAUGGUCUUAUCUCUGUUUCUAGUGGGUUAUAUCAGAGUAGAGUCAGCUUCAUUAAUUUUAUGCGUCUUUCAGGUUGGUAAGAUGUCAACUGGAGACUCUCUGGACAUGUCCCAACAAGAUGAAGCAACAAUCUUUGCAAAUGAUGCGACACUCAAAGAUAUGGAGGUAUUCUUUUAUUUCCUUUUGUCUACACAUGAAUGGAUGACCUUACUAGCUAAGUGUUGCUACCAACUCCGGUUGUAAAACUUAUGUAUCAAUUAAACAGGUGCUGUUAAUUUCUGACAUAUAGCAUGGCAGAUGUCUUAUAGUUGACCAUUUUGGUUUUGGUUUUUGAUUAUACUAUGUCAUUUUAUAAAGAAGAUUUUGCUGUUGUGUACCCGUAAGUCGUAAUCAACAUCACAUCAGACUCCUUCAUUUUUAAUUUUUUUUUUUAUCUGUUAAUUUCUUGUAUGCCUGGCAUCUUGCUAACAGAUUUUGACAACACUUGAAAAUGUAGGGUGCAGCUGUUGCUUAUGUAGCCGAUAUCUUGAAAGUUCCUGCAAUAUUCGUAAAAGCAGUGACCGACAUUGUGGACGGUGACAAACCGACUGCGGAGGAAUUCUUGCAAAAUUUGGCAGCGGUUACUGCUGCCCUCGAUCAGACUGUCUGUCAAGUCGUCGAAUUCAUCAAUGGGAAGUGCCUUUCUGACCUCUGAGGCAUUAAUCGAUGUGGAACUUAUCGAUUUUUAUGUAGAUGACAUAAAUGCGUGCCUGUUAGAAUUCAGCUUCACACAGCUAUUCAAGUUGAGCGACUGAGGAUGGUGUGCACAGGAACAUACUACUAGAUGCUUCAUGUUUCAUAUGUCCAAAGGCCAAUUUGUACGAUCGAAUCAUUUGCUAUAUAUGCUGGGCAGACUUAUUCUCUCUUGAAUUAUCUGUACAAGUUGCAUCUGGACAUUUCUGUGGUUUGGUCGCAGUAAUGUUUCAAAUGACAACAGUCACAUGGGGUUCAAAAAGUAAUUUGCCUUCUUCAGUUUAAGUAAUGGAAUCGCCGCCCGGCUUUGACAUUCCCUUUUCCCGAUCGACCCCUUUCAUACAUUUUUUUUCUGGAUCAUAUUGCUUGAAGCGCAGGCUUUUAGGCUGAAGAUGAGCUGUGCUUGCGCUUUGUUUCGUUGCUUUUAUUUUUACCGCUGCCCCCACUGCAUUCUCCAGAUGGGUCAAACCGCACACCGGGUUUGACUCACCUAUCGCAAUCUUUGUAUCGCGUGGGGUCUUACAAGGCACUCACGACUGUCACGUGCAAACCCGUGCCUUUAACAAAAUUAGGAUAAGACAUGGAGGUUUUAUCUUUCUAAGAGUAAAAGUUAUUUUGUGAAUAAUGUAUUUUUAUUAUGCUUAAUACCAUGAAAAGUCUCAAAUUAAUACACUUGACACAAAUCUAUCCGAACUAAUUUUUUUACCAUCAAAUCCUCAAAUUAGUAUAUUUGUGAUAAAUUUACUCUUCAUGAAUUUUUCAUUAAAUUUGAUUAAUGUCAUGAAAAGUCACAAACUAAUAGAUUUGUGAUAAAUGGAAGUAAAAAUUCUGAAUUGAUACAUCCAUCAAUUUUUACAUAUUAUCCAAUCCAAUAAUUUAAUGGCAAAUUUUAAUGAAAGCUAAUAUAAAAUAAAUUUGGCGUAAGUGUAUUAAUUUAGAGUCGUUGAUUGUCAAAAAUUAAAUUUAGAAUAAAUUUAUCACAAUUAUAUUGAUUUGAGAUUUUUUGUGAUAUCAAUCAUUUUUAUAUAUAUUCGUGAAGAGAAGAAUCUAAUAAAUAUACAAAAGAAAUUAAUCACUUCACCAUUGCGGUCGAAAAUUUGUUACUUUCUACGGCCAGAUGUGUCCCUUGCCUCUAUUAGUGAGAUGGGUGGAUAUUCAUCGAGUGCAGAUUCCUUUAUCAGUACUGUUCAAAAAAAAAAUUCCUUUAUCAGUAAAUCUUGGGACGAAAUUUUUCUGAUACAAAACCUUUAAAGGAAAUCGUGGCCCCACACAUUUGAAAUGAUAACUACUGAUUGGAAUAAAGCAAGAUAAUAACCUAAUUUUCAUGGAAAGGUCUCCCUAUCUUUCUGACUAUAAGUUUGGAAGUACAUGAAGGACAUGACAAUGGCAGGCCCCAGUUCCUACAAAUGAUUAAAGAGCACGAUUUUGAUGUGGCUAAUAUUACGAACAAAAAUUUGGAAAAAAAGCGAACGUCAGCUAGAUUAAAAUGGAUUUUUAUUAGAUUUAUAUUGGUAUAAAAAUUAAAUUACGCAGUCAACGUUGGAUAAUUGACACAUUGGUAUAGCCAAUUGUAUUAAAAAAAAUCUCUGAAUAAUACACAUGUCAUCCAUUCAGUGCAAGAUAAUUCAUAAUAUUUAGUGCUCCCUAAUUAAAUUGGAUGCACAUUAAGGGUGUGCAUGAUAAAUUUUCGAGGACAGAAAUUGAUUUAUGGCCAUUUAUAUUUUAAAAAUUAAGAAGUUAAAAAUUUUAGCUUUUAGUUUUUUUUCAAAUUUAUUUCUGUAAUAGAAAUCUGUUCCAGAAAUAGAAAAAUCAAAUUGCGUUACCAAAUGGAUUUUUAUUCUAAGCCUGUUUCAAAAAAUAAAGAAAUAGAGAAAUAAAAAAAAGUAGAAAUUUUAGGAUGCACAUCUUAAAUAAUAUUAUGUUUUAUUUAUUAAAAAAAAAGGGCAAUUCCAGAGCACGUUUCUCUCGCCAUGAAACUGCUGACUUUUCAUGGGGAUGGGGGAGGCAGGGGGAAGAGAGAGAGAGAGAGAGAGCAACGAGCUUGAACUUAGUUUCUUUCUCUGCCUGUCUUCUCGGUUCGAUCACCGUCCCUCCUUCUCGAUGUCGCCCCUUCACGUUACAUCAAGCGUCGACCAGAAAGACGACUGCGAAAGACCCAUCUCCACCAUCGUCUUCAUCAUUGGUAUACUCUCUCUCUCUCUCUCUCUCUCUGAGUGGCAUUUUAUCUCAAUAUGUUGUGUUUUGCUCUGGGAAUUUGAUAAGUUAGAGAUUUCGUGUUUGCUCUGAUGAGUCAGAGAUGUUGGGUUUGCUCUGUGUCUUCAUAGAAUCGCAAGUUUUGAUUUAUACAGCUUGUGCGGCGGGUCAUGAGUUUGCAGAUUAUGUUUUGGUAUCGUGGUUGCGUUUAUUCGGGUUUUCUGGUUUUUCUCACCGGGUUCUCAUUUGGGUUUGUAGCUAUGGAUGCCGAGGCUCUUCCUAUUCUGAAAAGGUUCAAUCUUGCUGAGGACAGCGCAUUGUAAGUUUCUUUUCUUUUUAUGAUUGAUAAUGAUGUUACCAUACUUGUUUUGCUCUCAUUAUAAGUGGGUUUUUUUGGGGACUUUCGAUUCAGGAUCUUUCUUUCUAUAAUAAUGUACUCUUUAGUCAAUGUCCAUAAUUCAUUACCUUAAAUAUUCAGUUGCACUUUGCUUUGACUUAUGAUCAGUUCAAUCACUUUAAUAAUGCUCAAGAUGAGCCUUCUGUUCUUCUUUUUCUUUUUCUCUUGGAACCUCAUGGAUACAUCUGCGGUCCAAUAAAACCUUCACUCGCUGAAUCAGGAUUUGUGGAGACAGCACCUUGUUUAGUCUUAUGUUACUGGCUCUUGCGUGCUUUAUCUUGUAUUUCUGCAACCUUUUAAGGCAUUUGACCGCACCUGAAAUUUCCGGAUGUGAGUUCCCUUCCUUAAUGCUCGAUGCCAUGAUGUCAAAGACUGCUUGAAGUUUUGCGAUGAGAAUUCUGCAAGAUUUCUAUUCUCAGACAUUUCUUACCUUUGCAUAUGACAAGUAUUAUAACACGUAUGCAGUUUUCCAGGUCUCCCUUGGAUUCGGUACCAUGGCUUUUACAAGGAUUUGCAACUGAACGUCAUUUGGCCAGGGAAAGAUUUAGCUCUUGGUGGGUACCUCGUCCAUUAUUUCCCUUCUCCUAGGCCUUAUCCACACAAGCCAAUAUAGGAAAGCUUCUGAAUAUUAUCCUCAGCCACUAGAAUAAAACUUUUUCUUACCACAUGGUUUGAGUAAUAUGGCUGUGAUGAAAUGCAGUACACCUAUUUCAGGGUCUUACAAAAAGAGUGGUUAUAGUAUUGAGGAAAUGUAACUUUUUAUAGAAUUUUUUAGACCUAUAAGCACCAUGGUUGUACCAUUCAGUCUGCUAUAUUUCAGUGUUAUAGAUAUGCUAGGAACAAUCCCUCUUCUUGACUCUCGAGUCAGCUAAUUUUCUGUGGUACCAAUAUUUACCAUAAUUUUCCUCUUUCGACGAGUUUUUUAGUUGCAGAAUGCCGACAUCAGGAAAAAUUGAACUUAUGGUGCCAUAAGACAACUUUUUUCCUUCCUCUCUAUAUUCAUUAAAUUUGAAACUUCAUGUGCAUUAAGAUGAAACAAGCUUAGUAAUGAGUUUCUUCCUCUUCUUGUUCAUCUUUAGCCAGACACGUAAGCACCGCAAAUGAAUUUCCGUAGAGUUCUCUUAACAUGAUAUAGCAUAUCUAAAUCCUCUGUGGGUCUUUUACAGCCGAAACAUUUAUUUUUCAUUACCUAAUUCAGACUCUCAAUUCUCUUGCCUAGAACUUCGAUCUGAAGUUACCUGUUCUUAACAGCACUUGAACCUUUUACCAGAAGAAGUAUACGAGGAUCAGUGACCUUUGUCUAAGACCAACAGAUAGAAUUCAGUACCUAUCAGAUGCCCUCUGCAAUCACUUCAUGAGCUGUGGAUUUCAUGCUUAUCUGCCCAUAAGGGACUUACCAACUUCUCUCAGUUUAUCUCUUCGAUAGGUGUUAAUAACAUUGGGACUAUUCCAGCAGCACUUGUGACCUAUGCAUCUAUACAAGCAUUGAAGCCAGACCUCAUCAUAAAUGCAGGCACAGCUGGUGGCUAUGUGGUAAAGCUACAUAUUAUGAGGAUUUUGAAACUGUAUAUUUUAUAGAGGCUUCUGAAAUAUACUUACAUAUCUUGCAGCAUCUAUUUCAAAUUUGUAAAGUGGAUUCAUUUCUCUUCAAUACAGGGGCCUUCGGUUUCCUUUCUUUUGAUAAAUGUCUUUAUUCAGCCUUAAUGCAUAUGACUUUCAGUGUUAUCCAUUCUAUAUGCUUUCCACUACAUUCUUAUUUGCUCUUUAGUAGAUAGAAAACAAGAGGACAGGUUACUCUUAAAGGAACAAAAGAUAGGGAUUUAAGAUUUACAUAGCGCCUAAGCACACAUGUCUAGAAGACAUAAUAACUUUAGGUCAUUGUACUGACUUUUGGUGAUUUCAGUCGAAAGGAGCAAACAUCGAGGAUGUUUUUCUUGUAUCAAGUGUUGCUUUCCAUCAUAGAAGGAUACCUCUUCCUGUAAGUGAUCUGAAACUAUUGAUUCUCAAGUUUUGACCAAAAAAAAAAACUAUUGAUUCUCAAGUGCUUCUCUUAAUAAACACAAGAUAUUCAUAGGGAGGUGCAUCUACCUUAAAUCCAAAUAUCAGUUUAUAUUAUUUAUAUCGUAGUGGUGAUCAGAUUCCUUGGCUGUAUAAAGAGGUGUCUGCCAAAAUAGUGCAAUUGCAUUAUGUUGAAAUUUUAACAACUUCUGCAAUUUAAGAUAAUUAGUCAUGCUUUUUUCACUUCAGGGUCGUGAUCUGUAUGCAAUUGGCCGGCGACAGUCCUUCUCAAUGCCUUUGCUUUCAACAGAGCUUCAACUGAAGGUCAUCUUUUAUAGAUCACAGUCUUGCUCAAAAUGUAUCCAUACUUGCAAUGUUUGAUCAUGUUACCUGGCAUAGAGCAGUUUGUGGAAGUUUUUGUGAAUGACGUGUUUUGCUUUUUAUAUCUCAUUAACGCUUGCAACAUGUUGAGAAACAGUAAUAUAGGAUUUACUUAAUUUGCUCACCUCCCUGUGUUGCACUAUUUUGGCUUGAUAUAUAUUAUGUUGAAGAUCUACAUGACAGCAUUACUUUCUUAUCAAGGUAACCUUCACAUGAGAAUUGUCAUCUGCAGCCUCAAUCAUGAUAUAGAGAUGCCUUAUCAUGGUCAUUAGAUUUUAGGCUCACUUAAAUUGACUGAGGUGGAACUUCUCUGGUAUUUGAUGGAUUUAAUCCAAAUGAUUUUAAGAUCUUGGUAAUCUCCAGAAUGGUUCACCUUUCAUCUAGUUUAUUGGUUAUGCAUUGCAACUCAGUUACUCAUCAUAGGUUGAUAGGUUGUACAUAUUAAUUAUCACCCUCUACAUUUCUUUACCUAUAACGAUCUUAUAUGGAAUUUUUAUUGGAGUCACUUGAUAUUCCAGGAUGGAGCACUAUCCACUGGUGACUCCUUUGAUAUUUGCCCACCGGAUGAAGCAUUCAUCACCGCUAAUAAUGCUAACCUUGUAGACAUGGAGGUAACCAGUUUGAGCACUGCAUGUCCUGACACCAAUUUCCAACACACGCUUCAUGUUUCCCAAAUUAUCUUGAUGUAGUAAAGUUCCUGCUUUGUGGCAGUAUUAUGAUUGAUAGAAAUGAAAGUAACAUAGAGAAGGAUUGUUUUGUUGAUAUAGCCUAGGAAGUAUUGACACUCUCCAGGAGUCGUGUUAUAUUAGACACUCCGACAUGUAUCUGAUACUCUUGGACACUUUCUGACACUUAGUCAACACGUGUCAAAAAAUCUGGCAUUGGUCGACUUUCCCAACACUCAAUCAGAAUUCCGAUAUACGAGUUUCCGACAUAUUCCAAUAGGCAAGGUCAAUUUGAAAAAUUUUCAAUAAAUGAGGGGUCAAACAGUAUAUAUGUGAAAAAAUAAAAAAACAAUAAUAAAAAUAAUAAAUCAGGGAAGAAGAAAAAUCUAGUCUUUUUUUUUUUUCUAACUCUUACUUUCCGUGAUACAUAAUUCAUCCCCCAAGAUUUUUUUCUUUCUCUUCCGACAUGUCUGACUUGCUAGUCUAGAAUGGGAAUUCCCUUAUUUUUUUCUUUUUCAAGUUUUAUAAAUUAUUGAAAUGGAGUUGAAUUUGUUAAAUUAAAAUAAUGAAUGAUAUUAAUAAAUGAUGGAUUAAUGUUUUUAGCAUAAAUUUAUUCUAGGCUUUUUUUAUUAUUUAUUUAUUUGUGAUAAAAAUGAUAAUUUAUUAUGUAUUUAUAAAAAUAUACAUUUAAUAUAAAAUGUAUCUCAACAUAUCGGAAUUCUUUAUUUUUUUUAAAAUGACGUGUCAUGUCGUGUCGUGUGUCAUGUGUUAGUGUCAAUGCUUCUUAGGAUAUAGCCACACCAGUCUGAAGGUGACAUUGUGAAGGUUGUAGAGGCCAGAGUUUAGAUCCUCGAGUAGUUCUAGAGAUGUGAUCACUCAGAUAUUUCUUGACUUGCUCUGAUUAGACCAGCAAAUUAAUGUGUCCAGAAUCUAAUGAAUUGUUCAGAGUCUCACAAAAGCUAAAGCAUUAGCUUCUCUUUUUAGGAGGAUGGAUGUAUCAACAGUCUCUGCCAUGAGCUACUUCAGAAAAUGAUAAUCACAGUUUUAUAGUCGUCAUUUUCAUUUGAAGAAUCAGGGAUGGAUUUUGUUUGCAGGGAGCAGCUGUUGCCUACGUGGCAGGUCUAUUGAACGUCCCCACUAUAUUCUUGAAAGUUGUGAGCAACGCCAUUGAUGGUGGCGAGCCAUCUGUAGAGGAAUUUCACCAGAAUUUGGCAGUGGCGAUGUCUGCCCUUGAUCAGACAGUCGCAGAAGUUUUGGACUUCAUCAGUGGGAAGUGCCUGUCUGAACUGUCCAUCUCUGAAACAUCUUCUCUGGGCUCUACAAGAUGACUAAAAACUGUAGUUGUUAUAGUUGCGCACUUGAUCUUCUCUUAUUUGAAUGUUAUAAUAGCAGUUUGCUCAUUCAUGAUUCAACUGUUGGAUGGGAGUCCAGAGCCUUCAAUGAUGGAUUCAAUGAUGGAUUCAACUGGUGAAGCACACAGGCCAUGGACUACUCACAAGCCAUCCGUUGCGAUAAGCCAAAUUCAGCCCGAGGCACCUCUAACUUUCCUCUAAAAUGAUACUUGUAUUUCACUCACAGUGCUAUUGAAUGCUGUUGAUCAUUCCCUGAAAUGCAACACCAGUCUGCUAUUUUCUGAAUGUAAUGGGACUUUAAUGUGGACCAAAGGCCAGAAUGGCAGCAUUCAAGUAUCAUGUUGCUCUUUAUCUCUAAAUAGACGAUGUGAUUGGGACUCCUUCUCUCACGGGGAGAUUCUUAGCUGGAUCCGAAUACACAGUUCCAAUGCAUUCGCUGCUGUUUAUUUUGUUAGAUCCAGGUUGAAUUCACAUGAUUAAUGGGCGUGAUGAAUAAGUUGGGUACACACUAUUUUUCUCAGCAGAAAAUUCUUCUUCAAACCUGGUCAUCACUUGGAAUAGGGGAGAAUCACAUUUUUUACGCACUUGUUGCGAAUUGCCUUUGUCUUAACUUUAGUAAUUUCUUUUUAUCAAGUGCUGAAAUCGGUUGCAGUAUCUCUCUUGAUAUUAACUUUGACCAGUUUCUCGGUCAGGACUCCGGCCACAUGACUGUCACACGACCGAUUUGCUCUAAAGGCAAAUCGGUUGAGCUUACUAUUGGCUGCCCAUAUCGAUACCGAGAUGCAAGUCCGAGGUCAGUUCAGAAUAUGGCCGGUUGCUCCCUCGUGCGCGCUGUUGCCAAUAAACAUUUGCUCCCGAUAUGCAUUUUGAAGAUGAGUUUUUGGAUUUAAAUGACUCAAAAAAAGAAAAUUUGGACUUAAGCGACGACUCAAAACAAGUUUUUUGAGAAUUCCACCGUAGUUUUUUUUUUUUUCCUCCAACCCUUUUUUGGCUUUAUAUUUAUAAAUUUGGUCUAUCUUUUGACUGACAUUAGCGUCAACGCCAACUACGGCAAAAAUUACGUUAGAUCUCUAGAGCGCCACAUUAGCAAAAUUAAUGAACAACCAUGGAAGGACUUAACUGUGCCCAAGUAAAAAUGUCCAGAAGUUAAUUGCACUUUUUAAAUGUUUGGGACUUGAUCAAUUCAUGUUGACAAAAUAUUCAAAACUUUCAGUACAAUUUUUUGAAAUGUUAGCUCACGAAAAAGACACGCCAUCGAUAAAAAUGGACAGUGCAUUGGACCAAAAAUUAAGACUGGGAUAGAUUUAAAACAAAAAAAAAAAUUAAGAAGCAAUAUAUAUUUUCUAUUUGGGUUAGUAUUUUGAAUUCACGUUGACAAAAUGUUUUGGACUCCGGUGCAAUUUUUUUUCAAAUGUUAGGGUCACGGAAAACACACGCCAUCGAUGAGAGUUAACGGUGCAUUGGGACCAGAAAUUAAGGGUGAGAUAGAUUUGAAACGAAAUUAAGAAGUAAUAUAUAUUUUCCCUUUGGGUUAGUAUUUUCAAAGAGCCCGACCAUCCGACGGUUUUUGAAAAAUACCCGACUUUUAAGCAAAUAAAAAUCAAAUAAAAAAUUCUCAAUUGGUGGCUAUCAUUUCAAACUACAUCCACCAAAUCAACAAAUAUUGCAAAUUGAUGUCUACAUAUUAUCCAAGUAACAUUAACAUUAGAUUAAGUAAAAAAUUGCUUUUUUUUCUUCUUUUUUUACAUUAACCAUAAAAAUAAAAAAAUUCUACAUAGCAGCAUUGCUUCGACCAAAAGAAAGAGAAGUCAGUUCAGAGUAGCAAAUUUUAAACGACAGGAAGUAAAAGUGCAAAACAAGUCAACGAUUAAUAACUUGCAGAAAAUGAGAAAGAAGCAUGAAUCUACUAGAAAGUCCAUGAAUUGGAUCUCCUCAUAACCGGCUUCAUCUGUCUGUCUUCCUCAAGUGAUACCAUACCUAUAUGCGAAGGGUCUUCCAACAUCAUCUUCGCCACCAGGUAACCGGCGAUCGACCAAGUUUGGAAUUUGCGAGCCUGCUUCCCGAUGUAACAACCGAGCUUCCCGUCGUAGUACUCUGGCCAGUUGUCCUUGAGUAGCCUUGCUUCUGCAAGUUCAAUGGCUCUUCUUGCAAUCAGGGGUCGUCCGGUCUUGAUACAUGCGGCAGUCAGAAGCCAUAGAAGCACUGCACACAUUGUGACAGCAAAAGAAAAAUAUGAGAAUAAAGGUUGAUUUGAAAGAGUCAUUCAGAGCGACACCUAAGAGCGCGUAUAUCGAAGAAAUUUGUAGCAAGUAACAAAGUGCAAUUUGAUCAUGUAAAGCAAACCAUGCUAGUUUAUCAAUCAAAUACAAUUGAUGUUAUACAAAGUACAAAUCCCUCAAAGAAAAGAUCCAUGGAAACCAAUCAACUUCACUUCUCAUGGGCAAGUUUUAAGAGCAUACCUGGCCAAGAUCCACCAUUGUGGUAGCUCCAUCUAGUGUUCUUCGGAUCGCACCCUGUCACAAUCUUCCAUUCAUGGUUCUCUAUAGCUGGAUAACAAACUUUCAGAGGCAUUUCUCCAACUAAUUCCUCCCAGCGUGAUUCUAUUAAGUCCAUUAUGGCAGUGGACUGUUCUGGCGUCGCUAGUGAUGACAAAAUGGCAAUACAGUUACCCAAGCAGAACCAACGGAAAUCCAUUCUGGCAGGGCUAACAUUGCCAACAAAGUAUCCACCACGAGUAGGCAUAAAAUCGAAAAUCCAUUCUGGAAGAGAAUCAGGUAUCACGUUGAAUUUGUUGACUGCUGUAUGAGAGUACUCCUCUGUUUUAUAACGAUAAAUAUCGUUAAGAUGCUUUAAGUCUAUCCAGAAGUAACCCCUCAUGUGAUAAGUUAGGGCAUGAAGGCGUUUGACAAUACGUUCCACAAAUUCCUUUCCCUCCACAUCUUGCUUUAGGAGAAGCAAAGCACACCUUAGUGCCAUAAAAAAGAGUGCUUGUAUUUCGAUAGGAUAUCCAUAGACACCCUGCAAAUUACAAACAAUUUUGAACCGAGUUAAAGUAAAUGAAUAAUGAGAACAAGUAGAUCCAUAACAGUUUUAUCAUUUCUAAGAGUUGCAGGAUGUGCUAGCUCCUAAUGGACCUUGAGUAGGCAGAAAACAGAGAUAUUCGACGACAUGUAACCUAAUUCUUUUUUUCUCUCACAGAAUUAAUCAGACGUUUUGAGCAAGUUAGAUGAUAACGAUUCUAGAUGAUAACAAUUCUUUCUUUAGAUCAUUCAUUAAGCAGCAUGAAAAGACAAAGGCUAACAUUUAAAAUCAAAUUAUAAGUGUCAUUUAACACACGUGUAAAGAACCCUACAAGGUUGCAUUACUUACUAUUUGUUCAUUACUGGCAUGAUGAUGCACUUACAUAUGCCUGCUUGUGAACCGGUCUAUACAUUUGGAUUAUUUAGAAUAAAGAGGAAGCAUAUCAGUUCAAUCAAAUGUAGAGAACCCUUAGACAACAAUCUCGUGAAUCCCUUCACAUUGUGAGAAGAGAAGUAUGAAGUUGCAAUUGAAUAUUACUUUGUGGUUAAUAGAGAAUUGGCUCCCCUACAUGAUUUGAAAUUAGAAGAUUGAUAUUAAACUACUACGUACCUAAGCAAAGUCAUAUGAUAGCGAUGCUAUAAGAAACUCACCAUUCUCCGGUCAAUCAUACAACAUCCGUCGGCACAGAGAAGAGUUGGAAAAGUGUCGAAGCCCUCCGACAGACACAAACUCAGAAUUAGACGCAUGCCCUUCUGGCAUUCAGAUAGUUCAGCCAAAGAUGUAUCUCCUGUUGAUUUUGUAUAAGCUCGGAGCAGAAUGAUCCACCAAAACCCAGAAUCAACAGGAGCAACCCUUCCUAUUGCACUCUCUCCAAAAUCAGCUAUCAGAGUGUCGUUAUUCCUGACCGGAUCAUGGAGCACUUUGAAACUAGCUGGCAUUACUCCUUCUCCUAGCUGGAAUCUAUCGAUUUUCUUCUCCCAUGAUUGUAGGCGAAGAGUCUUCAAUAUGAAGUUUUUGACUAUUUCAGAUUCUCCAUUCAUCAGAAAAGCCAAUGCACUGGGGAAGAAAUCUCUCACAAAGACCUAGAGAGCCAAUGAAAAAGUUAGCAUUCACUUUCUAACAACUUGAAGCCAUCUAUUUUUUACCCUUGAAAAAAAACCUGAAGCUGUCUAUGCUCUAAAUCAUGUCCAGAAAAAUACUUUAUCCCUUGACUUACUACAAACCUAAGAAAACUCCUGUGCUCCAAGUCCAUCGACAUGUGAACAGAUGGUGCAUAUUUGACUACAGGUGGACAUAUGAGUGACAAAGUAAAGAUGCCAUGAUGCCCAGUGUAAAGAAGAAUUUCUGGAACACAAUAUUGACAGUAGUUACCUUGAAUAUGCUAAAGUACAUGACAGUUUGCAAAAUGAGAACAAUUAGGAUUGGUCUAGAUUCUGAUUGAGUAGUAACCAAAAAGAGAAGGCUCAUCGACAGGAGCAUGUGGGCUAAAAUAUAUUCAGUACAUGCUUAUUUAUGAACAAAAGGACGAAGAAAACCAAAACCAUCUGUCCAACCAACAAAUGACUUCAACUAAUACAAAUGAUAUGGGUUCUCCCAAACCAUUGAUGUUCGGUGGACCAAGAAGGACAGACGCAAGCAAUGGUGAUGAUCAUCACUAAAUAGGAUGAAAUGGAAGGUACUGCAUUAUGCAAUCUGGAAAUAGUACUCUUUACCUGAUCAUAAUUAAGGUUCUCUUCAGAACUAUCCAAUGCAGCAAUAGUCCCCACUGGUUGACCCCGAAAAUAUACUAAUGAUCUCCUAAGUGCUUCCCAAGCUUCAGCAACCAUAGGAUGGGUAUCAAAUCCAUUGUCUGCCCUUGGGGUAUUGUAGCCCGACCUUCUAUCUGGCGACAAAAAGGAACCAAAGGGGUCGGUCAAGCGGGACGAGGACUCAGAAUUUCUCAAGGAGAGAUGAGGAGACAACGCAGUUGACAAUUCAUUGAGGGAUCGUUCAUCAAGCGACCUCUUCCUUUCCAUGUUUAAAGGCCUCGGCCUCUCCAUCAAUUUUGAGAAAUCACAUUCUUCAGACUCAGCUAAAGUGCACAGCAAAUCAGAUCCUCUCACAUUUCCGUUUUCGGUAACACUUCCCUUCCGCUGCACAUCCAUUCGAAGGGUAGACAAUAUUCUCAGGAUUCUUGAGUGAAGUUAAGUGAUCCUCAAAAGUCGAAAUGAUAUGAUCCACUCUGUACAAAACAACAUAAUUAAGCCACUUAAAAGCCAGCAACAGGCACAAGUUCUCAUGUACUUCCUCCGCAAAGAUUGGUAGUUGCCCAUCUCAUCAUCGGUGAGAUAAGUCUACAUGGUACAUUUUCAGCGAAACUCCAAUUCAGAUCUCGAAUGACACUAGAAACAGCUAUGACGCUACUCAGAAACAUGUCAUUCCUGUAUAGAAGAUAUCCAAAUCCCUCCAAUCCUACGAAAACACUCGGAAACAGGAAAGAAUGGCAAGUGCAUUUUACACUUACUCCCAUUAAACCCAUAAAAAAAAAGCAUGUAAGAGCACAACCGAAAACAAAAUUUCGCAGGCGAUGAAACCAUUCCUCGCGUCACGAUCGUGAUCCACCAUUAGCAUGGUUUAAUGUUUAACAGACGCAUGAAACAUGCAUUAGAUUGUCGAACCAUUAGCACAUGCAGCAGUAGCGUCAGAUUCCGCUGUUUCCAACAACAACAACAACAACAACAAAAAAGAACCAAAUCCAAAACAAGCACACGAAACCGAGACGUCCUAAAAAAUAAUCCUCGACCCUUUUGCAUGUUCAGUAUAUUCCCCAGAUCUCUGACCAGAUUCACGUACGGCGCCCGAAUUUAAGCUCUUCGAAUCAGAGGAAACUAACCUCAAAAGAUCAAUCGUCGUUGUGCUUUGAGACCCACUUCGGAAUUGACUGGAACGACAGAUAUAAUAAGCUCGCAUUAACAGCGACGGGUAGAUAGAUGGUGGGGCAAGCAUCUCGUUGCAGGUGUUUUCCUAUUUUUUACUGUUUGCCUUUUAUUUUUAUUUCUCCUGUUUUUUCUUCUUCUUUUCCCUUUAAAUAAAUGCAUGCGUACGUGUAUCAUUCACGUGAUCAUGCCUGAAUUAUAAAAACUUUUAUCGGUCUCGCUUGUCUUUUCCUCAAAAAGAAUAUGGACGUGUAUGAGACACGUGAACAUCGUUCACCUGUUUUAGGCGUUUUACUUACUGUAAUUUGCGUAAUAAUCCUAUAGAUAAUUAUAAAAGAAAUCAUAAACAUAUUGUACAUAUGUCAAUUCAAUUUUAAAUUUUUUAAUUUGAUCAAUUUGAUCAUGAAUUUUUUAAUAAUUUACUAAUUUAGCUAUUUUAACCAUAGCUGAUGUCCAUCGGCUGUCUUCGGUGGCACUGCUAGUGUUAAUGUAGACAGUAUUUGCAAUUUAAAAAAAUGUGAAUAUUAUUUAUUUAUUUUCAUUUUUUUUUAAAUGGAAAAUUUUGUUUACAUCAAUGCCGGCCAUUACACAUAAGAUGGCCGGCAACAAAAUUGAUCAAAAAGACUAUAAAUUAAUAAAUUGUCAAAAAGUUUAUAACUAAAUUAUUUAAACUAAGAAGUUUAGAAUUGAAUUGACCUCUUUACAAUAAAUCUAAGACUUUUUUGGUCAUUUUCAUCAUUAUGACACCAUUAUCUGCAAUUUUUUUUUUCAAAUUAUGUGAGAAUGCACUUGUAUUUCAAUUUCAUUAAGUAACUUCUUUUUAUUAUUUUUUUUAUAUAUGAACAAUUUUUUCAUUAAAAAACUUAAAUUAAUUUUUAAAAAAUAUGGGCCUAGCUCAAAGGGCUGGGUUUCACAAUUUGUGCACAACACAUAGGAAACUUUGUAAAAUAGAUGUAGGACAGGAUAAAAAAAAAGGGUAUACAUAUUAAGGAACGCAAUGUAAAACACAGACAAUUGUUUUAAGAUUCUCGUUAGUGAAUGUGUUUUACGGACUAAGAUUCUAUAAAUACAGUGGAAAUUGCAAUCAAUACCUAAAUUUCCAUCUAUCUUUAAUUUUAUAUAGAAGAGACCUUUUCGGUCAUCAGCCAUUAAUGUUGAAUUUGUUUUAUAGUCCAUAAGUGAGGUUUUGAGCAUUAAUGGUGCCUACUGCCUAUAGCAGUAAUGGUACUUCCCUGGCAAUGCUCGUUAUUCAUUUUAUGUUUAAUUUUUUUCCAAAUUCGAACCCACGUAGAAUGCAAGGGACCACAUCUAGUAGACUAUAAAUUUGUAUCUUGCCAUUAAAUGAUAUCUAUUAGUACAAGUAUUUAUUCCUUAUUAAAAAGGUAAAAAAGAUAUACUUAAGAAGUCUAUUAAAUGACAAAAUCAUAGGAAAUACUUAUUGAUUUUUGAAAAAAAUCCAUGGGUUAUGUAUGGAUCUAACAACUAAGUCCUCCAUAAUCAAACAGUGUAAAAAAUUGCGAAUUUCUCCAUAUCUCUUUCUUGAUUUGCAAAAUGCAAGGAGACACAAAAGAAUAAUUUCCUUUUUAGUCCUAAGAAUUUAAUAUUUCUAAGAAUACAUUUUGAUCAUCAACCAAGAAUUUACCAAAGAAAAAGAUAUCACUGAAGUAAAAAAAUAGGAGAUUUUUGAGUGGACCCAAUGACAAUGAAUUUACUGUUUAUAUGUAUCUGGCUCAUAAGUGACGAGUGCAUACAAAACUAGCUCCUAGGAAUGGGGAUGGAAGACCGAUUGUUAGUGUGUUAGGGUCAAGGCUUGUGAAGGCAGGGACCUGGCUUGUCGCCUUAUUUUUGUCCUCAUGGCAUUGAGAUUUUAGUAUAUCGAAAUGGGCCUUACUGUGUCUUUUUAAGGCAAUGCUAGUUUAUCCCGCUUCUUGUUUGCCCCAUGGGAAGAGUUAUUUUGAAAGAUUUACUGCGCUCACCUUAGUUACGACUUUCCAAACCUUUUUCCUUCUAUAUAAUCUUUUCUCUAUUUCCCCCAUUGACGAGAUCGAGCAAGAGUUGUGAUGUGUAUCGGUUACUUUUUUUUGUCCACCCUCUCCAAUGAUUGUGAGCCUUCCCAAGAGACUCGGUAAAAGAAUAUCGUAGGCAUCUUCGGCUAGUGCCGGCAUACAAUAUCACGGUUGUCCAUUUCUUGUCCUAUGCAUUCUUUAUUGUAACUAGCUCAUUAAGCUAAUUAUCAAAAUAUGACAAAAAAAGCAUAGAGAAGAAACAUGAGCAAAGCGGGGAAGAAAGCAUUUCGCAUGCUUUCCAUAUCAUCGACCGCGAUGAUACAUUGCAUUGUUAGCCUGUUAAAAACUUCGGGAAUAUAUUGCAGUUUGAUGACUCGAGUUGUAUGGAGUAACAUUAACUUUCCUGGAGUCAAAUUGUUUUCUGAGUAGGAGUUGAACUUUAGACCAGUAAAACCCAUAAGGAGAACAUAGUUCUUGUGGCACCCCUCGACGGCCCCCGAAUCCGAUUAGGGUCGUCACAGUUCGCUUACCAUUCACUUUCCUUAUUAACAUAUCACUCUGAUACCAUUUCAAUUGCAGCGGGUCCAUACAACCUGGGGGUUUACAUCUUUUAGAUCGGUCCCUUGCGCAAUUUAAAUAUGGAAGCACAUCCAACAACUCCCUUCCCUAUGUCCAGAAAACGAUGCACACCUACUAAAUAUCUUAUAUAAGUUAAAACCGAACACGUUUAUUUACAUAGAGCAGAUGGACAUCUUUAGUUGGUACAUCAAAAUGCCGUAGUUUUCUAUACUCGGCUACACUUCAAAAGAUGACCGACAUCUCCUCUCACAAUCGUAUGCUUAAGGUCCAUUAACCAGUGUCGGCGUCUAAAGGUUCCCUCAUUUGCUAUCCUUCUCUUUGCGGUCAUAUCCAACCGCUCAAAUCAUCUACUAAUCUGAAAUGUUAUUCCCCAAAAGGGGUGAGUACAACCACUCAGCAGGUAAAGAAUCCAAUAACAACUCAAUGCAUCAUGCAAAUCAUACAUGCAUUGCAGGCGUUACUUACCUUGAAGCCAUGCGCAUACUAUCAUGCAUCAUCAUAUCAAUUUAUAACACAUACAUGUGUAUCAUCAUCGUAUCAUACAUGUCAUCAUCAUCAUGACAUCAUUACAUUACACAUGUCAUAUCAUAUAUCAUUAUCAUAAUCAUCACCAUACAUAUCAUCAUGCAUAUCAUAUCAUGGGUGAUCAUCAUUAUUUCACAUCACAUAUCAUCAUCAUCAUCAUCAUCAUCAUCAUCAUCAUGCAUAUCAUCAUGCAUAUCAUAUCAUGGGUGAUCAUCAUUAUUUCACAUCACAUAUCAUCAUCAUCAUCAUCGUCAUGCAUAUCAUCAUGCAUAUCAUAUCAUGGGUGAUCAUCAUUAUUUCACAUCACAUAACAUCAUCAUCAUCAUCAUCAUCAUCAUCAUCAUCAUGGGUGAUCAUCAUUAUUUCACAUCACAUAUCAUCAUCAUCAUCAUCACCAUGCAUAUCAUGCCAUGGUUUAAUUUCCACUUUUAGCUUUCAAUUUGAUCACCACAUCACCCAUUCCUCAAAUCAUCAAUUUCAUCAUCCCCUCGGGCAAAGACCUUCGAGGCUUCCGGCAUUCAGCCUCCCAGGCCACCGGGCAUCGGCCCCCCACAUUCCGGGCAUCUUUCAUCUCAACUAGCAUCACGAGGCAUUCCCUUCGGGCAGAAACCUCUGACAGGGCUUCCGGCAUUUACACUCCCUGGCCAGGCAUCCCGCAUCCCAAUCCUGGCAUCGCGAGGCAUUCCUUUCAGGCAAAGACCUCCGACAAGGCUUCCGGAAUUAUGUACCGACAUACCACCAGGAUCCGCCCCCCUCCUCUGGAAUUACGUACCAUAUACCACCGGGCAUCCCGACACUCCCGGGGAAUCUCCGGAAUUACGCCACUAGGCCACCGAGCAUCAUCAUCCACCACAACCACUUCCUCUUUUAUCAUUAUCCACAUUUACCAUUAUUUUGAUCUCAAUUUAACAUGGCAUAUGGCGUGACAUCAAACAAGUCAUACUUGGCACACAUGCAUCACAAUUCAAUGUCAUACAUACACCAAUAUCUCAUCAUACAUGCAACAAUGCAUAAUUAUUUAUUAAUAAAUUCAAUGGAAUUUAUGGCCAAUAAAAUAAUCCAUUUUAUCAUGCCCCUUUUUAUUUUUAUUUAAAUUCCAGCUUGUGCCAUUUUCAAAAAUAUUAAAUUUAAUUAUUUAUAUAAUCUCAAAAAUCAUAAAAUUAAGGCAAGUAAUAAAUAAGGCAAUAGGAUAAUGAUUUCAUGCAAAAUACACGGCCAAUGAGAAAUCCACACAAAUCCAUAAUUUACACAAAACAGCAUGAAAUUUUCGGAUGAAACCAGAAUGCACAGUUUUCAAAGAAAUUCGAUUAAAAUAUCCAUACGGCCUCCAAAAAUUACGAAAUUUUACAGAGUUAUAGCCAAGACAUUUUCGUACAACUUUCAUGAAGAACUCCAAGCCAUAUUCUUUUAAUAUUAUUUUAUACAGUCUCAUGAAGCUUCUGGAUCCACUACCGCAUCGUCCAGUGUACACAUCUCCGAAAUAUUGAGAUUUCACCUACCUAUUCUCUUUAGUUUCCUCUGAAAUUCGGAUAUUUUAUACAUCAAGGUGUCCUCUACAAUUUUUAUGAAGAGAUCUAGGUCAAAUAACCAGAGUAUAGUCAUCAUCUAUGUCCUUGAAGUCUCGGGUAUCUCGGAAUACAUUACCAGAAUCAUCGUCUUCAAGAUCUAGUUGAUUUACUAGGCUGUACUUGUUCAUUUCACUUCAAAUUUUAUUAUGUUGUAUUUUAAGAUGUCUCCUACAACUUCCAUGAAGGAAUCGAAGUGAUAUUCUCAACACAAACCAACAUGCAACCACAAAUCCAACCAAAGGUCAGUAAAAUCUUUCCAGAUCUGGGGUCUCCGUAGGAUGAUACUUUAACCCCUUUAAUCUCCAUCAUUUUCCACAAAAUUUUAGUAUGUUAUAUUUUAAGAUGUUAACUACAACUUUCAUGAAGAAACCAAAGCCAAAAUCGAACUCUAAACAUGAAUAAAAGCUCUCACAACAUUCUGACUCGAGCGGAUUCACGCGAAAACAUUCCAGAUCUGACAUCUCCGUAAGAUGAGAGUUUGACCCCUCAAAUCUCCAUAAUUUUCCACUAAAUGUUAGUAUGUUGUAGUAAAAGAUGUUAGCUACAACUUUCAUGAAGAAAUCGAAGCCAAAAUCUGACUCUAAACACACAUGCAAGCUCAAACAAGUUUCUGACUCACACGGUCCGAACACAAACAGCCACACCAUCCACACACAGCUCAUCCAUGCUUCGGUUUUUCUCAUCUAACGCCCAAAAAUUCAACAUGCAAGCAACAUACAAACAUGCAAGAGAAGCUAGAGGACUCCCACUUGCCUCUAGACCACACAAAUGGCGGCACACCGGCGACGGACGAACGGCGACGGGCGAGCUCCUCCUCUCUCGCCACUCCCUCUCUCUCGCAACCUCCUCUCUCUCCCUUUGGCCGAACAAGCCACUCUCUCUCUCUCUGCCUCUCUCUCUCUCUCUCUCUUUUUGGAUGCUUAUAUAUUGCAUGCUUUCUUAGUUUGCAUGAGGGACAAGUGUAAUUGUGGAGGAAGACAAGUGUCCACCAUGCUUCACCUCCUUCAUGCCACUUGUCCGGUUACAUGCAAGGCUGAUGGGCCUUCUUCUUGGGCCUAUCUUGGGCCAUCAAAUGGGCUGGUCGACAGCCCCUCCUUGGCUCCAAUGGGCCGACCAUUUGGCCCUCCAAAAUCCAUACUCUUGGGCCUAAGGCCCAACCUAAUUAAACCCACAAUUUCCCUUUCAAUUAUUCAUCUUUAAUUCUUUCUUUUGAGAAUUUAAUUACUAAAUUCCACAUGGCCAAAAUCUUGAAAUCAUAAUUCCAUAAAUUUCAAUUUAUAAAACACAUGUCCAAUGAUAGGAUUUUCUUUCCUAUCACAUAAUUAUCCAUUAAAAGCUUGGCCAUAAAUCUUAUUACAAAUUAUGAAUUAAAUGGCCAUAACUUGAUGGUACUUUCAUCACCUAUUCAUAGAAUUUAAUAUAGCUAGAGGUCGUUGAGAAUUUUGGGAUGCCACAAUUCUCUUUUCAUGUCGGGCUUAAAAUGGGACAAGAAAAAUCCAAGAGGGCCAGGCGUAGGCUGAAUUGGGCAUCCAUAAAACCCAAAAAGCAUUAGCUGAGUGGACAAAAGAAAAUAAAGAAUUGGGUUCCACUAUCUUUGCGGAAAAAUCAUUGAUUACAGACUAAUGAAGUCCUUCUAAUGGCCAAAAGACAAGUACUUGAUCCAUCCCAUAAUGACUUAAACGCGAACGGUUGCAAAAGAUCUUAACAUCGUGUUUUCAACCCACCGUGUAUUUCAUACUCCAAAAUCCGAGGCCCAUUUCUAGUUUAAGCACUUCUUUGGGAGAUCAUCAAAUUUAUGGUAAAAGAAUACUAUAAGUGUCAAAAGUUGUAUACACGCUUACUUUAAUGCCAAAAAUUUUCACCAGGUCACUUACAUGUCAGAUGAGACAAAAAUAAAUAUCUUAAAUGCCAACAACGAAAAAUUCCAACCAAAAAUAAUACGUGGCUUUUAUAAUUAAAAAUUUUAGAUGACUUGGUAUAUUAUUUAAAAAAAAUCAAGUCCAUGUGGCAUUUCUAUGUGGUGUGGUUGGCACUGAAAUGAUCAGUUUUUAAUAAUGAUCGAUACUGAAAUGAUCACUUUAAAUAAAAUUUAACAAUCAAACGAUCAUUAUUGACAAAUUUAGACGACAUCAUUUAGGAGUUAUGUGUUGACUGGGCACACAGCAAGUCACAUAGGAUUGAGAAUAUAAUAGAAUAUAGUCACGUCAGAUUUCCAGCAAUUCAAAUUAAAGUUAACACUUAAAUGAUCGUUGCACUUAAAUGAUCCAAAAAUAUCUUUUGACACUUCCAGUAUAUUUCUCCUUAAAUUUCACCUAACCCACUUGGUCUCCCAUUAUAUUGCACAUUUGAGGAGCAAGUAUGCAAGUGACUUUUGUCUAACUUCCCUUGUUUGGAAUAGGAGAGGAUGCUUUCUUGUAUUGUAUUUUCAUUUUUUGUAGGAUAAUUGAAGUAGAGGUCUCAAAAUUGGCUGAAAGUCCAUUUUUAAUCCAUAUAUAUGAGUUAGAUCAUACGUGGGUUAGCCUAAUUUGAGGAAAUAGGUUGUUAUGGGUUUGAACUACAUAGUGUGGGUGACUCGAAGUCAAGAUAUUCUUUGAAGUAUAAUUGCUCUUCUUGAAGACAUCCUUGCUCGUCUUAGUUGCCUUGUAUGCUGUAUACAUCUCCUUGAUUAGGAAGAAACUAUUUGAUGAUGAUGAAAAGCAAGGUCAAGGCAGCAUGGCACAUUUCCUUGGAUAGCUAUUUAACCUCUUGAUAUUUCUUGUUGCCUACCUUGUGCUUAAUUUUGCUAAGCUAGAGCCAUUUACCAACCUUAACUAGAAGCAGGUUGGCUAGUUGUGUUGAGAAAACAUCUCUAAGUGAUUUUACUGAUUUCCAAACUAUCUUUAGUAUAAUAUUUAUUAUGAUGUUUUUAGAUGUUUGCGACAAGUAUUAAAGAUUAUGUGAUGACAAAAACAUUCAUUUGGUAAUAUUCAUUGAAUCAACAAACUAACUAUUGUGGAAGUGAAUAUGCGUAUUAGCAUAAUCUAAAUGAUAACAAAAAAUGAGAUGCUAGGCUGUCUGAUAGAUCUGUCAUGAGCUGCAGCAAAGGGACAAUAAUAGAAGCUAUUUUUACAUAGUCUACAAUGUUCUAGAAAAGGAUUGUAUGGCCAGUUUUAUCUUUAGACAGUAGUAUCAACGAUAAUUCUAAUAGCUCUUUGCUUCUCCAGUCCACCUCUAAUAGAUAGAUUGAAUGUGGGUAUUAAAGAAAGGAUCUUACAAGCCCAAUUUUAGGCACGCAUAAAUACAAAGAUUGAAAAUCUUCUAUAUGUUGUGUUACAAGUGAAACGCUCUCUUCCGACGGUUUCUCUAAGUAUUGUAUUCUUGUUGUUUAAGCAUGCAAGAGUAAGAGUGAUCUAUCAUAUAAAAUGAUUAGUGUCUAUCAAUUGUAACUUUCUGAGUAAAUUACUAGUGUAAUCCAAUCUAACUUGUGGAUAUUAGUUUGAAAAGUGGACGUUGGAUUGAAGAUAAAGCCGAAUCACUAUGUAUUUUUGUGUGCUACUUUUGUAAGCACGCAAUUUGCUCACGAGUUUUGAAACAUCACCUUAACUAGAUCUUUAUUUAGAAUUAACUAGUUUCUAUGAAAAAUUAUCAAAUUUUCUAAAACAUCCUAUUCACCUCAUUCUAGGUUGUAUUGUUAGCUCCCAACAAUUGUAUCAAAGCCCUAUUGUUCGUUCGUUAUUUGAAGUGUAUCUCUUCUGAGUAUAAAGAUCUUCUCUUAUAGUUAACUAAGUAGUUUCUUUUACCAAUGAUGCUCAAGCUCCUAACUAGCCACUUUACUUUGAUGGAAGCAGUUAUGGAUACUAGAAAUAAAUGAUACAAUUUUACGUUGAAGCUACAUAUCUCGAAAUGUGGAGCAUUAUCGAAAGUGGCAUAGCCAUACUAGCUCUUGCUCCUACCCAAGUUCUUGCUCGAUAGGAAGCUCAAGCUACAGAUGCUGCUGUUGACAAUAUGGAAGAAGCAUGAAGAAAAUAUGCUCUCAAUGCCAAAGCCAAACACUUCUUGUAUUGUGCUUUGUCCCCAUCUGAAUUUAACAAAAUUUCUUCUUGUGCUACAGCUAAAGACAUCUGGGAUUGUCUCCUAUUGACAUUUGAAGGAACUGACAAGGUGAAGGAAACUAAGGUGAACAUCCUACUUGGAAAUUAUGAACUCUUCAAGAUGAAAUUAGAUGAGACAGUAACAAGAUGUUCACUCAAUUCACUAAAAUAGUGAAUGGCCUUGCAAACCAAGAAAUAUAUUCACUAAUGUGGAGAAGGUAAACAAACUGCUAAGGGCAUUGCCAAAGGAAUGGAUCACGGUGAAGACCUCACUCUGAGAUAUAAUAAGGAUUCAACCAAUCGCAAGGAAUGAGUCGAUAGAAACAUUUAUGUCAUAUGAAGUUGAACAUAUGAAUGAGGAAAAUUACUCAAAAAGUAAUAAAGGUAUCACCUUCAAAGCUGAAGCUGAUCAAGAUAAUGCAAGUGAACAUGUAUCCUUAGAUGGCGAGGACAGUGGUGAAGAUAUGGCGCUAUUGACAAAAGAUUCAAAAACUUCAUAAGGAAAGGUAGAAACUACAAAGGGAAACAACACAUGAAGUUUUCAUAUGGCUAAAAGCCAUAAUGGAACUAAGAAGGAUUUAAAGGUAAGGAUAUUAUUUGCUAUGAAUAUAGGAAACAAAGUCACAUAAAGCUGAAAUGACCAUUUUUAAAGAAAAAGAAAGAAAAAUAUGAAAAGAAGAAGAAAUCAUUCAAGGCUUAAUCAUAGAAUGACAUUGAAUGUGAAUCCAGCAACAAAAAAGAAGCAAAUCUCUAUCUAACGGUUGACUCUAGCCAUUAGGAUGAAAAUGAGAUAAAUGCUCUACAGAAUUUUUUGAGGGAAAUGUUUGAGGAGCACAAAAAAGCUUCAAAAAGGAUUUUUGUUCAGAAAAAGGAAGUUCAUGAUCUCAAAGAAGAGUUAGGCAUUUGCAAGCCACUCGAAUAGCUUCCAGGUAUUGUUUAUUAUAUGCUCUCUUCAUAUCAAAGAUUAGGAAUGCAAUGAACAUUAGAUACAUAUUCUCAGAUUGAAAAAGUUACUAUUAUAGAAUUUCUUCUCUCUCUCUCCUCAGUGACUGUUUUAACAUACGAUCACCUCAUUCACUAAUGUUGUUGCACUUAUUUCUCUCUAUUGAUUAUUGUGUACAUUAAAUUCAAAAAUUUGGUGAAAAUUCAAAUAAGAAAGUUAUUGUUAUUGAAGUAAUGGACAACUUUCUAAAGCGUGACUAAGCUGCUCCUACUUAUGCAGAGAUAGUGCACACGUAUUUACUAAAAAAAAUGGCUCUUUGUAACCACUAUAUAUUCCCACACUCUUAUUCAUUUCUCUGCUUCAUUGCCCCUUAUCCUUCUCAUUCAAAUGGCUCGCAAACCUCACGCGAAUCAGAAACCUACCAAAAAGUCUUCUCGCAUAUCAGUAGUAAUGGCCAAAGCGUCCAAAGGAGGACCAUCGCAUAUCAAUCUCACUAACCAAGCUAAAAGAUCCACUAAGGUAACUCAAAGCCAAAGCAUUCCCCUGUCUCAACAAGUUGGAGAAUAUGUUGGAAGAAGAACUGCAAGCAUAACCUUGUCAUCUUUUUCAGAGAGUAACAUCUAUUGCCAAGAUGCCUAAGUCAUGUCUAUGAACCGACAAGGAAAUAGUACUUGUAAUUGCCCCUUCAACACAGCUGGUUAUUCCUACAACUUUCCAAAUCCCUCCAAAGAAAAAAAAGCCGUUCAAGGUGUGAUCAACCAGUUUCUGAUGACACAACAUGAAGUGAUACUCGAAGCACUUAGGUAUGCUUUUGCUAAAACUCAUAAAUUGGCACUACCUCCUACACCUAUCGAAGGAACCUCUCAAUCGGUGAUUCAAGCAUUCCCACAAAAGUUCUCAACCAAAGAGUAUGUCCCGAAUGAUCUAGAAAAAAAAUAAGUGAAUAAGCCCCUCGAAAAUUCUAAUAAGCUUGAAGUGCAACCAACCCAAAUUGCACCUGCUCAAGCCUCUGACCAACUCGAACAAAGUGAACCCAGAACUGAAAUAGAAGAAACUUCAAGAGACAAGCAUUGUGAAGAUGAUGACAAUAAGGUAUUUCAGAAUUUUGAACCUAUUGAAAGUUUUGAACCUAAUCAUUCUUUCAAGUCUGAAAUGUUUUUGUCCAAAGAUUAUAAGGAAGCUUUUCGAGCUUUGCACGAUUAAGGAACUAUUACAUAUCGAUUUGUUGAUUUUGACUAUCUUGAUGCCACGACAUUUUUCUAUUCAAACUUUUUGAAACACUAAAACUCAAAUUUUUCUGCUCAAUGAAGGAAGAAGUCCAUCCCACUCUUGUGACAAUAUUUUAUUCAAAUCUUCAUUUUCCAAAUAGGGACUCUUUCAUUUUCACUUGUCGAAAACAAAACUAUGUCAUCACUUUGGAUCAACUGGCAAAAAUCAUUCAAACCAAGUACCAUGUGUUCAAGAUUUCAAUAGGGCCUAAUGAAGCCUAUAAUUUCGUGCUAGAAACUUUGAACUUCACUUGUGGUUUUAAAGAAAUCAUCCUAUUAAACCUACUGCCUCUCAAAAUGAAUUUCAUCCAAAAGAUGUUGACCCUCUAUCUGUGUCCCAAGACAUCUUCUGCAAAUAAUGUAUCUUGUUAUGAGGCAAUAGUCAUCUGGGUCAUUCUCACAAAGUUUGAUGAUUUCUCUCACACACAUAAUCUUUAUUCAUAUGUAUCACAUGGCAAAGAGAGAUAGGUAAGCUGCCUUAUGCUGUCCUCAUCACUUGUACCUUCCGUCACAAAAACAUCGACUUCACUAAUGCUGCCCCAAAAAGCAUGGUGAAUCUUGAGAUUCGGAAGAAGAUGCUAGACAAGAUGAUGCUAAGAAUGACUCCUGAUGGUUGGACAAAUACGAAGGAUGAGAUAAUAACCAUUGGGCACGGUAAGGAUAAGCAUACAGUUGCUACCCUAAGAGAAAGAUUGGCUGAGCAAGAAAAUAAGAAAAAGGUUAAGGCACCCGUAUAAACGCAGACCUCUUGUCCACCAAGACCUAAAAGAUCACCAUCUCCAGUGGACAUAUUUGUUUCUCCCACUGUCGGGCUUACUACCUUUAAGCCGAGAUUUAGGAAAUCAAAAGCAUCUCUUUCAUGACUUGAUAUCUAGUGACAAUUCAACAGACUAUUUUCAACUUGAACCUGAAGAAUCUAACCCCACUCCUCCAGGCAAUGCAAAUGCCCUCGCAUUGAAAUUAUCAUAUUCCUUUUGUGUUCUUGUUUCUUUUGCUAUUCAUGUCUAGUUGCCUUUUGAAUUUGAUGUACUGACAUGACACGUUUCUCAGUAAAGUUCUAAUUUCCUUACGUAUUUUUGCUAAUGACAAAAAGGGGGAGAGAUAUUGAUGUGAAAACUUUUUUAUAUGUGUUGACAUUUCACUUACACAUUAAACUCUAUUGCUAGAAUAGAUAACAUCAAAAGAGAGGGAGUAUUACACGAAUUUUAUGCUGAUAUUGUUACCGUUUUGCAUAUGUUUUUUAAUGACUUAUGAUCUCUAGCAAAUCUAUGACUUUUUCACUCUUAUUCUACAGAAAGAUCAUCUAGAUUGCAUCUCCAGUGUAUCUUAAUUCUUAUGGAGAUCUUGUUACCUGAUAGUUGUGCAUAUUCCUUGAGAAAUUAGCACAUAAAUAGGUCAUUUACUUUUACAGCAACUUUAUAAAAAAUAUUCUUUCACAUUUGUGGGAUAGUUUCGUAAUCAUAAAAAAAGGAGGAUAUUAUUGCAAAAACAUUUCCAAGUGGUUUUGAUGAUUUCCAAAUUAUUCCUAGCAUAAUAUUUACUAUGAUAUUUGUAAAUGUUCGUAACAAGUAUUAAAGACUAUGUGAUGACCAUGGUACGAUCCAAGUGGUAAAGAUUGUGAUAUGCCUUUAAUACAGUUUUUCCUUAAACAGCACCAACAAAUGUAAAGAUUAGUUUUUGCCGAUAUUUGUAUCAAUGUUGUAUACAUUAGGUCAUUGAAUCGUGGUAGCAAUGUUGAUUUGAUAAUGUUCGUUAAAUUAGCAAACUAACUAUUGUAGAAGUAGACAUCAAAAUGCUAGGCUAUCAACAAGUUUGUUUAGAGCUACAACGAAAGGACAACAACAAAAGCCGUUUUUAGGUAGUCUGCGAAUGUUUAGGAAAAUGACUGCACAGACAGUUCUAUAUUUGGAUAGUAACAUCAACGGUAACUCUAACGGCUCUUUACUUCUCCAAUUUACCUCCAACAGAUAGAUUGAAUAUGGGUAUAAAGGAGAAGAUCUCGAAAGCCAAAUGUUAAACACGCACAAAUACAAAGAUUGAAAAUCUUCUAUAUGUUGUGUUCCAAGCAAAACACUCUCUUUCAACUGUUUCUUUAAAUAUAGUGCAAAAGCUUAAAUAAACAAGAGUAGGAGCUCUAGUUAGGUCCUGACAGUGUGAUAGAUCGUGUAAAAGAAUCAGUGCUUGCCAAUUGUGACGUUUUAAGCAGAUUAUUAGUGCAAUCCAGCCCAACUUGUGACUGUUAGUUUGAGGGGGUAGACAUAGGCUUAGAGAUAAAGCCGAACCACAAUUUAAUGUGCAACUAUUUUUCUCUCUCAUUAUUUUCACAAGCACACAAUCUACUUAUGAUUUUUGAAACAUCAUCUUCACUAAGCAUUAGCUAAUUUCCAAGAAAAAUUGUCAAAAUUCUAAAACAACCUAUUGACCCCCUCCUUUAGGUUGUAUUAUUAGCCCCCAACAAGUUGUUUGUAAAGGUGAGUAGCAAGGUGCAUGAUUCGAUUUCUUUUCUUGAUUUUUGUUUUACUCAUCUAAAAUGCACUAUGCUUUUAUUGAAUAUAUAGUAGUUAGGUAUAAGGCGGUUCACUUGAUUUUGAUCAUAUUUUUAAUGAGCAUACAGUCAUUUGUUGAAUUUCUUCUUUCGCUUGUUCUUGAUAUGAAGUUUGCAUGUUUAUUUAAACCCAAUACAGCUUUAGGCCCUAGUAAAUCAAAUAUACGUAUAUAUCAAGAUUGUUAUCUAUGUCAGGAGAUAAAUUGAAUAUGAAGUAGAACCGCAAACUUCUCGGAAAAGCACAGAAGUUCAACAUGUUCAAUGGGAAGCUUUCAAUUAGAUUGUAAGUUGCAUUAGUGGCAGGCACGAAAGAUUUCUCAGCCUUCAUGCUGCAAUACUCACGGACCAAGUAGAUGAAGUUCCUAGAAAUCGAGGUGCUCAAUAGCUUGAUUGCAGUCCUUUUCCUCUUUUCUCGGAAGAGCUCUUUUCUCUCCUUAGAGCAGAGCUUCUCCCUAUCCCUUCAAUGGCCAAUAGUACAAAUACAACCCUAAAACCACCAUGAUUCUGGUUUUGUUGUCCCUUCCAUAUGGAUCCAAGGGCAUCCCAGAUUUGGUAAGUUGUUUUCACGAACCCUAAUAUUUUCUUUCCUUGAGUUUCCACCAAAGAAACCCAUAAUCCAUAAAUGUAUCAUCUUAGCUUGAUCUUCUACCCUUUCCUCCGCAACUUCUUCUUCAAGGAUCUCCUCACACUUGAUCGCUUAGUCAUUUUCAGAAAUCCCAUACCCAUUUACAUAGAGCUCCCUUCAAUCUAACCUCACGCUUAUACCCACAAUCUCCAAAGACAAAAGAACUCACAACCACCACACUACUCCUGUAUGAAAGCCCCCACAGGAAGCAUCCUACAUCGGUAUCUAGAUUCUAUUCCGAGCAAGCAAAAAGCAGCGACUACAAGAAGGAACCCUGCAAAAAUGAGAGAUGGAAGGUGAGAUAGAGACCGACUUGCGAUUAGCAGCAUUGUGUAAAAGCUUAGGCCAUCUUUGGUAAAACAGUGAUGUUGUAGAAGUAUCGACAUAAAUCCCCUCUAAUAAAAAGAAGGAAUGCAGACAAACUCUAUUUGGUAAGUUGUUCUCCAAACCUAAUGUUAACUUCCAAGCUUUUUCCAAUACAAUGAAUAAGGCAUGGAAAACAUAUUCAAAUUGUCUGUUCUUAAAAGGAGCCAGGGUUCUUCUCUUUUGCAUUUCAAUUAGAGGAGGAUAAAGAGAGAAUCCUACCAGUGGUCCUUUGCUAGCAAUCUUUUAGUCCUGAAACAAUGUGAACCAAAGAUCCCAGAGCACUUUCAUGACUUUUCCCGCCGUGCUUUCUGGGUUCAAAUGGGUGGGAUACCUCCAGGGUGGUUUAGAGAGGAAGUGUUUGCUAAUUUGGCUGAAAAAGUGGGAAAAAGUGUUGGAAAUACAGGUGGAUUCUAAAGGAAAUAGUCCAUUCAAAGUAGGGAAGGUGAGGGUAGAACUGGAUCUGUGUGCACCCUUAAAAUCGGGAGCCAUAUUGGACAUAGGGAAUAAGAAGCUAUGGGUGGAAUUUAAAUAUGAACCCCUUCCACAUUAUUGCUACUCGUGUGGGAGAAUUGGCCAUUUUGACACAUAUUGUGAGGAAAUUCCCUAUGAACAAACUAAAUGGGUAGAAAUCAUGGCAGGAAAAUAUGGACCUUGGCUUAAGGCGGAAGUACGAGAUCAUAGCCCUCAUUGGGAAGCUUUUCUAUGGCAAAUUAAAAACAAAUAUAGAUGCUGAAGAGGUAGUCUUUAAAACACCAACCAUAGAAGAUGGAAUGGAUAGGGUGGUUAAAAGUGAAUCGGAGAUAUAGGUAACCGAUUUCACAAUAAGAAAAGGGCAUAAUGUUCAUCUUCCAACAAAGCAAUGGAAGGCUCGGCUUCAACUCCAGGAAAAAAAGAUAAUGGGAAACAAAUAAUGUGCAUUGAUCUUCCCAAAUCGAAUCUUUUGAAUGAGGAAAUCAAUAGCAAGAAAUGCCUAAAGACCUAGAGGGCCAAAAAAUAGAAAAGAUCAGCAAACACUACUCUACUUAUCAUUGAUGAUAUGUAGCUGUUGGAGACCCCUGUUCAGGUAGUAAAAGAAGGAAAUGAUUGGGCUUUGGUGGCUAGCCCUAAUAAGCCAUCGGAGACGUUAUAAAAAUCAUUAGCUAGAACUGUCAGGGGCUAGACAACUCCCUGACAUUCCAAGAGCUAAGAGCUUCAGUAGCUCUCGAAAGACCUAACCUGGUUUUCUUAAUGGAGACCAAGAACAAGGAGACGAUGGUUGAGGGUGUCAGAAGACGCCUAAAGUUCCCAAAUAUAUUUCUAGAGAAUCCAGAAGGCAUAGCAGGAGGAUUAGCACUUAUGUGGAGUGAAGAGGUGGGUUUAAGAGUGAUUUCUAGUACUAAGGCUUUCAUCGAUUUGGAAUGUAAAGACCCGUCUAGUGGUUAUCAAAUGAGGAUGACUUUCCUCCAUGCUCCUACGAAUUAUGAGGAGAAACUUCUCUUAUGGCAGAAAUUGGGGGAUAUUCAGUCACAUAACCUACUCUUGUGGAUUUGUAUGAGGGAUUUUAAUGAAAUUUUAUAUACUUGGGAGAAGGUAGGAAAGAGAGAAGCUGACCACUACCGCAUAGCAAGCUUCCGUGAGCUCUUAAAUGACUGCUCCCUAAUGGAUAUAGACAGCAAAGGGUGUGCCUAUACUUGGGUGAAUAACAAAGAAGGAGAGGAAUUAGUUAAAAAAAGAUUAGAUAGAGUUCUAUGCACUAUGGAUUGGCAGAUUACUUCCCAAAUGCUGAAAUUCAGGCUCUACCAACUAUCAGCUCAGACCAGAGUCUACUUCUUCUUGUUUUACAUCUUGAAAGUAAGAAAAGGAAAAAAGAAUUCAAAUUCGAAACUUACUGGCUGGAAGAUCAAGAAUGCAGGGAGAUCAUAAAGAGAGUAUGGAAUGGAAAUCUCUUAAAUGAAAACAGCUUCUUAGAAAAAAUUAAAGAAAUCUCUAAAGAACUAGUAACCUGGAGUAAAGACAAGUUCCUCAAUGCAUCCAUUUGCAUAAGGGAGCUGAAGAGGACACUAACAAAGAUUACUAAUAGAAUUUCACGUAGCUUUAGCAAGGAGGAACCUUAGAAUAUUGUUGACCAAAUUGACAAACUAUAGAGACAGGAGGAAAAAUAUUGGGGGCUAAGACGCGCAUCAUCUGGCUUCGGUGGGGAGAUAGAAACACAAAGUACUUCCAUGCCACAAUAGCGCAAAGAAGACAAGAUAUAGAAUCACAAUGCUGAAGGUGGACGAAGUAACUUGGUGUAGGGAGCCAAACACACUCAAGAAACCCAUUGGGGACUUUUACCAAACACUUUAUAAAUCUGUGGGUCCGAGGAAUUUUUAGCCAGUCUUAGAUCAAUGUCCCAAUCUAGUAAAUGAGACAAUUAAUGCACAGCUGACGGCAAAUGUGUCCAUUGAAGAAGUGAAAGAAGCGAUCUUCCAAUUGGGUUUACUCAAAGAUCCAGGUCCCGACGAACUAAAUGAACAAUUUUACCAGCAUUAUUGGGAUGACUUAAAGCACGAAGUGUUUCAGCUAGUACAAAACUUCUUUGAGACAGGUACUCUUGACCCUACCAUAAACCAAACGCAUAUCUCUCUAAUAUGGAAAGUCAAAAAUCUAGAAAGUAUAAGCUAGUUUAGACCUAUUAGCCUAUGUAACUUCAACUACAAAAUUAUAUCAAAAGUGAUGGCUAAUAGGUUGAAGCCGUGGCUCCCAGAAAUUAUUACUUCUGAACAAAGUGUCUUUGUACAAGGCUGGCAAAUCCAAGACAAUAUAUUGAUAGUUCAGGAACUUAUCCAUUAGCUUAGAAUUAAGAAGAGAAAAAAAUAAGUUUCAAGCUAUUCUGAAAUGGGAGAAUUACCAAAAAAGUCCUAAACCUAUUGUAAUUGUGCCAAUUCAGUCCUAAACUUAUUUUUUUUUUGCCAAUUUAGUCCUAAACAUUUUACAAUUGUGUCAAUUCAGUCCAUCCGGCCAAAAUUGGCCGGUCAGUGCUGACGUGGACGCCGGCCGGCCGGUGAACAAUUUUUUAAUAAAUUUUUUGAAAUUUUUUUCGAAUUUUUUUUAAAAAAAUUUUCGAUUUUUUUUUUUAAUUUUUUCGAAUUUUUUUUAAAUUUUUUUCUUCUUCUUCUUCUUCCUUUGGCCAGCGUCGGCCGGCCGGCCAGAGGUGAGGGCUGGCGAGGUCAGCCUCGCCGGUCACUGGCGAGGCUCGCCCCCGUUGGCCACUGGCGAAGGCGAGCCUUGCCCAGCGACGGCGAGGCCGCCGUCGCCACAUCUGGUGAGGCUCGGCCUCACCUAGCCAUGGCGAGGUCGAGCCUCACCAUCCUUGGGCAAGGAGCCUCGCCGGCCACUAGCGAGGGGCUGUGCAAGGGUUUCUUGUCCUCCUCCUAACCGCUGCCACCGCUGCCCAUCGCGGACAUUCUCUCUCUACUCUCUCUCUCUCUCUCUCUCUCUCUCUAUCUGUCUCUCUCUACUGGUUCGCGAUUAGGGUUUUCUCUCCGAUUCAAUCGAAUCUGGCAGCUCGAUGCGCGCGCCUUUAUAUUCAAGCGGACGGAGCGGAGCAGAUGGAGGGGAACGCCUUGCCCAGCCAAGGCAAGGGUCGACCUCGCCGGUGGCCGGCGAGGCUCCUUGCCCAGGGACGACAAGGCUCGACCUCGCCAUGGCUGGGUGAGGUCGAGCCUUGCCAGAUGUGGCGACGGCGGCCUCGCCUCGCUAGGCGAGGCUCGCCUUCGCCAGUGGGCAGCGGGGGCGAGUCUUGCCAGUGGUCGGCGAGGCUAACCUCGCUGGCCCUCGCCUCUAGCCGGCACCAGCCGGCCAGAAGAAGAAGAUGACCAAAAAAAAGAAAAAAAAGAAAAAAUUUAAAAAAAAGAAGAAAAAAUUCGAAAAAAAUAUUUUAAAAUAUUUUAAAAUUGCCACAUCAGCAUUUGCCGGUCAACUGUCCCCAGCCGGCGUCCACGUCAGCGCUGGCCGGCCAAUUUUGGCCGGAUGGACUAAAUUGACACAAUUGUAAAAGGUUUAGGACUAAAUUGAUCAAAAAAAAAAUAGAACUGAAUUGGCACAAUUGUAAUAAGUUUAGGACUUUUUUGGUAAUUCUCCCAUUCUGAAACUGGACAUGCAAAAAGCUAAUGACAGAGUCGAGUGGGAUUUUUUUAGAGAAUGUUUGCUGAAAAUGGGAUUUUGUAAAAGGUGGGUAGCAUUGAUCAUGCAAUGUGUCUCAACAGUACCUUUUAGUGUGAAGGUAAAUGGGGAGCCUAUGCAAUAUUCACACCAUCAAGAGGAAUUAGAUAAGGCGAUCCUCUCUCCCCUUACUUUUUCAUUCUAGUGGCAAAUGUCCUGUCAUGGUUAAUGCAGAAAGCCAUGGAAGAUGAGAGCCUUAAAGGAAUAACUUUGAAUACGUACCACCCUACCCUAUCACACUUACUCUUUGCCGAUGAUACUAUUCUUUUGUUGGAUGGGACUAUCAGAGAAUGUCAAAAUCUAACAGCUGUUUUAAACCAAUAUUGUUUUGCAAUGGGUCAAGCCAUAAAUUUAAACAAAUCAAGAGUAUGUUUCAGCAAUGACUACCCUCUAAAUCUGAAGAGGAACAUGGCGCAAGAACUCAGAGUACCGAUCAUAGACAAGACGGGAAAAUAUCUAGGCAUUCCGAGAAAUUUGUGCCAGUCAAAAAAAGAGAUGUUCACCUGGAUCCUAGCUAGAGUAAAUAUGAAGUUGGAGGGCUGGAAUGAGAAGCUACUUUCUAAAGCAGGCAAAGAAACGCUGAUAAAAAGUGUAGUACAAGCCCUUCCUCAAUAUGCGAUGUCAAUCUUUAAAAUACCUAUCUCGAUAUGCAAAGCUAUUGAAAGAAGAAUUGCAUUUUUCUGGUGGAAACAAAAUGAUACAAGGAGUGGAUUGCAUUGGAAAAAGUGAGAAGUCAUGAAAACUAGAAAGGAUGAAGGGGGCUCGGAUUCAAAGACUUGACAAAAUUUAAUAAAGCAAUGCUCGGUAAGUAAGCUUGGAGGUUAUCUCAAUCCCCUUAAGCUCUAUGGAGUAGGAUUCUAAAAAGUGUUUACUUCCCAAAUGGAGAUCUGUGGAAGGUAAGAAAAGGGCAACGUCCAUCAUGGGGUUGGCAAAGCACUUUAGUAGGGAGAGAGACCAUCGAAGCGGAGGUAGAAUGGAGGGUGCUAAUAUGAAUAUGAGAGGACAAAUGACUUACAUUAAGAGUGAUCGGCAGUUCGACAAAUAAAUAUGACCCUAUAAUGGUGGCUGAACUUAUUAAUGAAGAAAGCCAGGAAUGGAAAGAAACAGAGGUUCAAAACCUUUUUGAAGACCGUCUAGCCAAUGAAAUCCUUGCUAUCCCAACUAGCCCUACCCCAAAGACAGAUACUCUAGUAUGGAAAGGUAACAGAUCAGGAAUGUACACAGUUAAGAGCAGCUAUAAUAGAGUUUGUGCCCAAACCAUAGAAACAUAACUAAACAGAGCAUCAAGUUCAUUCAAGCCUUCUCGAACACUAUGGACUAAGAUCUGGGAUUUAACUAUCCCCCGAAAAUGCGAAUCUUUAUUUGGAGCAUUUGUCAAGAUGCUAUUCCAACAAGAAGAAAGGCGUUUCCUGACCCGAUCUAUCCGCUCUACAACACCCAUCCGGAGACAAUCGAACACUUGUUCUUACUUUGCAAAUGGACGAAACAUAUAUGGGAAGACCCACGAAUCAAUCUAAGCUGCAACCCUAACACUAUUUCCAGGUUUGAUAAGUGGCUGUCGGAGAGAUUUGAAGGGAGUAACGACUUACCCGAGAACGAGCUGGUUGGGAUGGUGCUCUGGGUUGUAUGGAAAACUCGAAACAACUUCAUAUUUCGAGCUAAGCCACCGAGUCCGAACUCCAUCGUUGAUCUAGCGCAAGCACAACUACAAAACUUCAGCAUAUGGCAAAAGAAAAAAAGGGGCAAAGAAACCCACAGAUUUUAACUCAUCGAGAAAAUGGACACCGUCGGGGAGAGGAGCAAUGAAAUUAAACGUUAUUUGCUCAUGGGUGCAAGGAGAAUACGCCGGAUUGGUAGCUAGAAUCCUGCGAGAUCAAGCUAGACAAGUCAUUGAUGGCUUCGUGCGAGAAGUUCAAGCUUCAUCCUCUGUUCAAGCCGAAGCCCUAGUUGUUCUGCACGGGUUGGAGUUUCUGAAGAGAAGAAAGGAGCUGCAUGUGGGAGUAGUUGAAACUGAGCAAGUACAAAGUGAAAAAGUGGAGUGCGAGACAGAUAGCUUGACUGUGGUGGAUAGCGUCGUGGGCUAGGCUGAAAACCCAUGGAAUGUGAAGACUAUAAUAGAGCAUUGUAAAGGAAUUUUAGCCCAAUUAGAUUCGACGAAGCUGGUCCAUUGUUCUCGGGAAGUCAACAAGGCCGCAGAUUGGCUCGCAAAGGCUCGCCCGACUAAAACACUCCCUCAAAAUUGGAUGUCUUUUCUUCCUUUACCUCUCUCGGAAAUUUUAUGUUCGGAAACUUAUCUAUCGUCUUCUUGUAAUCCUCGUUGUUUAUGAAUGAAGGAAAAGCAUCAUAUUAGACCAAAAAAUAGCUUGAUUGUAGCUGUGGUGGCUCUUGGUGAUGGCUAAGAGGCGGCAACUGAGCCAAGGCAGGAGCAUUUGUCUUUCUCCGACUAAGCUAGUUACAAAUAAAGAGCAAACAAAUAUAGCCAUAGCUAAAUGUCUUCACCAUUGUAGCAUACACAUGCACGGCAUGUGCACAGCUCAUGCAUGGCAUGUGAUGGCCGUAUAUUUAAAUCGGUUGCAUAAGCUAUGAUGUAAGAAUUAAUUGCAUCGUAUGUUUUUUCAAUUAAAAGUAAUAUUUAUAUCUACUACCAAUGUAACUUGCGGGUGACCGAUUAAUUUUCGCUAUGAAAAAUCAUAGCCGAAGAUCCUUAACGAUUACAUCAAAGCAUAAACAAUUUGAAAUUUUUCGGAUACCUUUCUUUGUAUAUUUAUUGGAUAUUGUUCUCCUUUUUUUUUUAUUCAAGUGCAAUAUAUGUGUAGACAUCAUAAUUGGAAAAAAAAAAAAAAAAGGAAAGAAACAUAAGAAACGAACUUCUUCGUCUCCUCGACUUGGCUUUCCAGAUCUAACAAAUUCCCAGGCUUGUUGCUGGCACCGCCGCCGGCCGUGGGAAGGCACGAGUGACGAGCUCCAUUAGCGACGAUUUUGCUGCUCUUCAUUGCUGCACAAUUGACAUUGCUCCUCUUCGUGGCUCGUCGUUUUCGAGGUACUCCCUAGGCUCCGUUGCUACGUCACCAAUGUGAUGAUCUGGACACGGAUGGCUGCUUUACAAUUGCAUAUGAGCUCCUUGACCGAAUUGCACACCAACUGUUUGAUAAUAUAUCUGAACUAAGUCAGUGUAGUUUGUUCUUCCCAUUGAUUAACCUGAACACGUUAGCAUGUCUGAUCUAAGUCAGUGUAAUUCGGGUUUACUUUUCCUUAAGGAAAUUUGGGUUUAUGAGCGUCGAGCUUUACCUGUGUCGGUGUGGGCUCCAUCAGAUUCGUGAUGUAUUCCGGCGUCCAUUUGCUGACCUGUUUGAGUGCCCAUUGCUGCAUUUCAGUGGGGAAUGCAGAGAAAGAGCAGUCGAAUGGUGAAACAAAGAAAAAGAGGCCGUUCACUGAAUCUCUUUCUUUCUUUAUUAGAUGUCUGACCUGGAGAACCAUAUCCACUUUUCAAGAAACACACCGGUCCCCGUCAUACAAUUGACGAUUGAUGAGAUUCAAACUGACCCGCCAUUCGAGAAAAGAAGCGGCAGCCAACUGGCCUCUCCGAUGAGACCACGGUCUUCCCAGUCUAACUGAUCUGCGGACUUCAGCUUGUUGACCAGACUUAGACCGUCUCGACCUUCGUUCGUGCGGGGAGAGAGAUACUUCAGGUGACUCCACUAUGGCCAGGUUUCAGUUUGCUCUGCUGAUUAGGCAUGGACUACCCAUGUGAAGCCAUCAAUCAUAGUCCAAGUUGCCUUGUUCUGGUGGCGGUGGAAGCCAAUUACUCUCCUUCUCUAUUCUUGCAGCCAUUUUGUUUUCCUGUCCAAGUUGCUCCACUUCCUGAGAAUUUUUUAGUGCAAGUAUUGCUGAGUCCACCAAGGGUUUUGGGUUUGAAGACGAGGUUAUUUCUGCUUUUCCGGAUAUUACAGAUCACAGUCGACACUAGUUCGAAAACUGGUGCAUUUCUUUCUUCCGUAUGCAACUAACCAAACCAUUCUUUGAUUCUGGAGACUUGAUAGUGCAAAAUCUUGAUUUUUUAUUGUUAGGUGAUUUGACUGAAUUUCCUGCUGAAAGAAGGGGAAAAAUUGGGAAAAUUUGAUAGUACGAGAUGACAAGUAAAGCUCGGAGAUGGAUUUUGGGGUUGAUAUACAUAGUUGCUGUUGCCACCAUUUGGAUUGGUGCUAGUUUUUUGGUUCAGUCUGUGGUUCAUUUAGGAGCUUCACCUUUCCUUAUCACAUAUAUAUGCAAUUCGUUGUUCAUCAUUUACAUUCCUAUCUUUGAAAUCGGGUGCUAUGUAGAGGAUAAAUAUGGAAGUUUAUGGUUCUGGAAAAAUAGGAAGAGUGAUAAUAGUAGCUCUUUGAAAGGACUGGGGGAGUUGGAGAUGGCAAACUUACUUGCAGAAGUUGAUUUAAGUGCGAAAGCUGAUGAUCUGGUUCCAUCCACGUCUGUGGAGGAAGGCGACAUAAGUCAGGAUGCAGGAUCUGAGUAUGAGAGUGAAAGUGCUUUGCAUGAUCGGGGUGUAAUGAGUGAAGAUGCUGACAAGGAAGUGGACACAAAGGGGCGUUGGACGAGGAUGAGAGUAGCGAAAGUUAGUCUUCUCAUUUGCCCAUUUUGGUUCUUUGCACAGUUGACUUCCAAUCUGUCCCUAAAGUACACUACCGUCACGGUACUGGCAUCUUUUUAAGUGGUUUUCCUUGCCUAGUUUUUGCAUAUCUUUCUAUCGUUUUUAUUUAAUUGGUUUCAUUACCUUGUUUUUUCACAGUCAAACACUAUCUUGAGCACUUCAUCGAGUCUGUUUACCUUUUUGGUCUCUCUUGCAUUCCUGGGAGAGAAAUUUACCUGGAUAAAGCUGAUCGGCAUUCUUCUUUGCAUGGGAGGCACAAUCAUUGUUAGUGUGGGCGACUCGGAGUCAGCAUCUCCCCGAAGUGACGCUGCUCUUCUUGGAGACAUCCUUGCUCUUGUCUCAGCUGCCCUGUAUGCUGUAUACAUCACCUUGAUUAGGAAGAAACUGCCUGAUGAUGAUGAAAACCAAGGCCAAGCCAGCAUGGUGCAGUUCCUUGGAUACCUGGGCCUGUUUAACCUCCUUAUAUUCCUUCCUGCCGCCCUUGUGCUUAAUUUUGCUAAGCUGGAGCCAUUUACUAACCUUAACUGGAAGGAGACUGGUCUUAUUGUUGGUAAAGGUGAGUAGCAAGGUGCAUGAUUUGAUUUUUUUCUCGAGUUUCCUUUAUAGUCAUCUAAAAUGCGCCAUGCUUUUAUUAUAAAGAAAAACAGUGGUCAGGUCUAAGGAGCUUUACUUGAUUUUGAUCAUAUUUUAAAGGAGUUUGCAGUUGCUUGUUGAAUUUUUCCUUUCGCUUGUUCUUGAUAUGACAUUUGCUUGAUUCAGAAUUCUGGUUAUCUAUAGUUUGACCUGUUGGAUUUGCAAAAAUAUGCUUGAAAUACUCAUUGAUCUGCUUCUUUACCCCUCUCCCAAUUCAUAUUCAGGGUUGUUAGAUAAUGUGCUGAGCGAUUACUUGUGGGCCAAAGCCGUUCUUCUGACUUCUACCACCGUUGCAACAGCUGGUCUUUCCAUACAAGUUCCAUUGGCAGCUGUUGUAGAAUCACUGACUGGCAAGGCGCCUCAUCUCAUGGAUUACCUCGGCGCUGUUGCAGUCAUGAUCGGAUUUGCAGGCAUAAUUUUACCUUCUGAUGCUUUCAGCAGAUCAAAAGAAGCCAGUGUUGAUCUUGGAAAUGAAGACAUUGAUAACCAUGACCAUGCUGCUUUGCGUGCUGAUUGCUGAGAAAUUGGAAGCUUGUGGGAAUAUUGUGUAUAAGUAGAGAAAGAAUUGGCAAGUAUUGGCACAAGGAAUAGGAAUAGAAAAUUUUGCUGAGUAGUUGAAUGGUACACGUGAUAAUGAAGGAGCUCUCUCAUAGUUGGUCUCUCUGUUUUUCUUCUCUAGUUGAUCUAAGUUCUCUGAAUUACUCGUCGUGCAUCCAAACCAGACAUAUGUAAAGAUGAGCUGUGAUUCACGACUACUGAGAUCAUCUGAUAAGUCGCUGCAAAAUAGAAACAGCCAGUACAGAGAAGAAUAUGACGCAGUACAGCAUAAAACAAAAGCAAGCCUCUCGUUUUUACUUCCUUGCAUCUUCCUUGCAUCUUACAAUUUUAGUCAAAAUGAGGCCACGCGUUACACUCCAAUGCUGGUGAAUUGUUAUGGUCAGAGGAUCCUCCUUACUUGCGCGUUGACAGGUAUAUAAUACAAGAGUAUGGCGGGUUAAUCCAAGCGAGAUCAGACUUUAUCUCGACCAGAAAAGAGAUGAAAAGCAUGAAUAAGCAAAGUGAAUCAUACUCGUUAUCAUUGCUUCUGUACGAGUGUGCAACUUCUAUAUCAAAAAUUACAACAAAGACAGGCAAAAAAGGCAAAGAUUACAGAAACAAUGGACAAAUGUUACAAUCUCAGUGACGCCAUUUACACUAGAUUGGAGAAUACUCAAAAUCGCACGGUACAGCCAUUAACAAUUUGACUCCACUAUAAAGCCUAAAACACUAUAAGAAUCAAAUUUACACGAAUCAUCUACUUGCCUAUAAUCCGAUCUCCUGAUAAAACUGGUUAAUGCCUGGGUGUCAAAUUGCCUUCUUGUAUCAAAGUUUUCUAAAAACUUCAAGUAUGAGAACAGGUCAUCUUUCCUAUUCAAUAGCUCUUUAGUACAACAUUUGUCUUCAAGCAUAAGAUGAAUAGAUGAUAGUCCAGUGCUGUGGUUAACGCGUCGCAACAGAGCGAAGCAAAUAGCUGUAAUCAUUCCCGUCUUCACAGCACUUCUUCAUAGUCAUCAUAACAGGACGACAUAUUUUGCAGAAAUUAUGUCCCCUGCCAAAGGCAGCAGCAACAAUACCCGCCAAAAUGUCUUCAUUGUACCUAAAAAGAUGACGACGGACCAAUCCAAAAGGAGUACACUCACAUCAAACUUUUCCUCCAUACUGAAAGUACACUUUGUAGUCAUGCUGCAGAGAUGCCAAAGUGUUUCUGCAAGGACCCUCUGCAUAUGAAAGGAAAUUGCAACAUAUGAAACUUGAAAAAAGAAAAUGUUGUCCAUUGAAAAUAGUUUACAGCUGAGGUCAGGUUACAAAAGCAUACCUCCAAAUACUGUAUGAAGAUAUUGAAGAUCAUCUGCUGAGCAAGCAUCAAUUAAAGCAUACACCCCAGGUCUCAAAGCUUCAUCUAUUUCUCUGUGAUAGAGCAAAAAAUUACAACCAUUCUGUUAGUAUUCUACCAAUAGCAACUAGGCUCACUUAAUCAAAAUUAAAGCAAAACACCAAAGGAAGGCACCUUCUGAAUCCACCCUUCAGUGGACCGCAUUCUGAACAUGUAUAUAUGUAACUGGAUAAGAACUUAAAACAAUGACGUCCAUAUACAUCUUUCUGCUGCCUUAACUGUAAAAGGAUGAAAACACCAAAACAUAAGAAAAUUAAACGAAAGAAGGCACCAUAUUCAUGAAAAUCAUGGUUUGGACAUUGAUACUUCCAGGACAUAUAUCAAUCGUCAUUUUAGGACAUCAAGGACUAAAACUGAGAUCCCAAAAUGUUCUGUUAAGUGCAAACUAAGCACUCCCUUUCUGUUUUGAGGCUUGUAUACAGACAAAUGUAAAAUAAAGCAAUCCAAUGAUUGGUCAAUUGACAAAGCAUUCUUGCACUUCUUGCCCUGGCUUAUCAGCUUAUAGCUAGGAAGAGUAUAAUUUUCCAACUACCUCUCAUCCACCUACGACUAGACCAAAUUUGAAUCCUAAAGUCACAUAGUUUUGUGAAUUUCCCAGCAUUUUGUAGGUCAGAUACCCUAUUUUCAAGAAACUAGCUCCUUCAAUGCUAAUGCAUGAAGACUUGACGCAAACAUUAUAAAUCUCUCCCCAGCACAAGGUCCAUGAAGUCAUUGCAAUUGGUCCAAAUGAACCACUCUGCUUGAAGAAAUCGUCAUAUAGAGGUAAGAUGAAAGUAACUCAUUAAUGAGAUUAUGAGCAAUGACAAAACACAAUCCUUCUUAUUUUUGAUAGGAAAUCAAUAAGCAUUUAGUUAAAAGGAAAUCAAAAGAGUGGUGGGAACAUGUCAACGAGAUUAGGAGUAAUCAAGCAGAAAAAAAGAAUAAUGUAACAAAUACUUCGAUUAUGACAUUUUCCAUAAUUGAACAAUAUUCAAGCCUCACAAAAUCCAGUAAAGAACUCUCCGCCAAGUAGGUCUCCAUUCCCACAUGCUCAUUGCCAGCAUUAUAAAGACCACAGAGCAACUUGCACACAAGAAUAUGCAUUCCAUGAACAAAAAGCACAACAAAGGAAUUGCAGCGUAUCAAUACCAUACAAAGCAAACAAUUUUACUAGAAAGUCACCUCUUCAUAUAUCCUCCGAAGGGAACAUGCACAUUUGACCCCUUCUCGUACAUCCCGUGAAAGAUAGGCUUGCCUGACCACCAGGUCCAUGUUCACAGUCUCCAAACAAUUGAGAAGAACAGAAGUGGAAUCUUGAAGCAAAGCAAUGUCUCUUUCGCAUUCACUAGAAAAUACACAACCACAGAGUAUGUUUUCAGCAAAAAGAAACGCUUCAAUGGUGGAAGAAAGGGCAAUGAAAGAUGACAACAAUAUCUUGUGUGAGCAUAUGAUCUCUCUGUAUGCAUGGUUUUGUCUCUAUGUGUGUGUAGGUUGGUGUGCAAGAGAGAGAGUCGUUCACAGAAGCGAGAAGAGGUAUACUGCUGUUGAAAAAGAACUGAACUAACUGCAUGCCAUUUCUUCAAAAACAAACUUUCUCUAGUUCUUGUUUCUCGUCCCUCACCCCACAAGACACCUCUAGGAGGCAUGCCCCUGACUCCCCCUUAAUUUUUUUCCCAAUGGUACACUGUCUAUCUUGCCACCUAAAUCAACUAAUAGGUUUCUUGACAAACGUUUUACUGGGAACACAACUGAAAAAUUUGAGAAGCAUAACAUACCUUUUAUGAUGCUUAAGAACAGUACAAAGCAAUCGACAACAGGUGGCAUAUAGCUUCACUGAAAACGGCCGAUCAAUCUCAAGAUUCUCCAAAGAAAAUAAAGAUCCGGAAGAAAUAGUAUCUUUCAGUUGAAACUGACAGAAGACCUGGAACAGCGCUGCAGGAAUUCGUAACAUCUGGGCAACAUGCCAAGGAUCCAAUUGAAAGAGAGCAUGUCUUCCUGAAACCCUAAUCAGUACCUCAAUGCACAUAAGAGUGACUGAUCCUGGGUCAGGAUCACCAAAGCCCUUGCCAGGUGAACUCUCAUAGAAAAUUCGUGGACUUUGCACAUGCAGAAUUAUGUUGAACAAACCAGCCAUAAAGCUCUGAAUGUGUCUCCUGACCACACUCAAACGUUUCCGACCUACAGAAGGAAUUCAAGGGUUUAGGCUUACAUUAAUCUAAAUGUAAAGAUACACUAUUGUCACCUGAUACAGAUGUAUAAUUACGGGGAGACAUGGCCAAUUUUUCUUUUCUUUCUUUUUUUUUUUAAAUGACACUUCUGGAUAUAUACAGCAAAGUAUAGAUUAUUGGACCACUGUCUCAUUUAAUAAGUGUUUCUAGCCAUUAUAAAUUGUUGAAACAGGAAAAAAGAAAGGGAAACAAUAAUCAUUUAAAAUCACCCAGGAAUCAGAUUAUGACAUUGAUUUAAUAUUAUUCACUCCCAUUAUAUUCCUGAUAGAUUUUCUCUCCAUUUUAUAAGAAUUAGUUUGCAAAACAACCAUGGAUCAUCAAAUUCUUUCUUUCCCCAGUAUACAAAGGCAAAAAGAGUUAUCGAGUAAAUCUAAUACUCGGUCUAUCAACAGGAGUGAAUUUUAGUUAAGCAACAAUUCAGGAGAGCUUACUCCUAUAUUUGUUACUCAUUGAAAUAGUUCCGGAGAAUACAUAACUUUUACCCCUCAACCACACCUUAAACAUAUGUACACAUUAUUACCUGAAACAUUUUCUAGAAGCAUAUCCAACAAGUCAAUGCCAGCUGCAACAACAGGUGAGACAGUCCCUCCUACCCUUCCAAAAGUUAUGCCACACUUAGCCGUGCAGCAUUCCUGCACUCCAACUAAUGCUCUCUCUAUUGCUUGGACAGCAGAUAAGAGAUGCAAUUCUGCAGCCUUCUUAAUAUAAAUGGUGAAUGAUGUCCUCAACCUUGCUUUGAUGUCAUCCAGGCAACACUCCAGACGAUAAUCUUUUGAUCCAUUUAGUCUCGCGUGACCAGGAAUUGUCUUGGUGCUUGAGCCGGUCUCAUGAUUCAUUAAAGUAUAUCUUUUCCCUUGUAACACAAUACAUUUACCAAGAGCCACUAACUGCAAUUCUAUCAGUCUGGCAUAUGCAUUUCUAGAUAAUGUGGGAUUAGUGUAGGGAAAAUGACUCCCUAAUUCUCCCAAAUACUUGAGAAUACCAUCUAAGCAAACAAACGAUGAUGGCUGUGGCAGCUCAAAACCAUUAACCAAUUCCAAGAUCAGGAACUGCGCCAUUGCCAUAAAAGUUCGCAGCAAAGUUGUCGAUAAGAGAAGAGUCUGGUUUUUCAAAUUCAGCUUUAGAAUGGCUGAAUAACCAAUAAAUAAGUGCCUGAGCAGAAAUGCUGCUUCAGGAUUAUCACCUUUGAGCAACUGCUGUAAGAAAGGCUUAUUUAAAUAUUGCGAGUCAAAAAAAUUAACUUCAUUUGAAAUGCUCGCAACACAAUCAUCACCUUCCACAUGCGACAACUGAGGGCCAACAUCAGUGACCACUGACUGAUUAGUAAAGCCAGAUGACUCUAAGAAGGCUGUCACGACGUCCUUCUGUUCACUGUGGCUGGAUAUUUUAGGGACAGGUGAAGAGUCACCGUGUGACAAACCAUCACUUCCCAAUAUGUCUUGGCUAUAGUUCAACAUUUUACUACUUUGCUCAUGACCUAAAUAUCCCAGCUGCUGAUCAUUCUGACCAAGCAUAAUCCGCAGAAAGAUACUAACUACAUCUGUAAAUACGUCAAUAAAGAGGCCGAGCUUGCAAAGAGGUUCAUGCUUCCAAUGAGAGGAUAUAACUUUAUGAACCUGAUCCUUUGCAUCAAUUUGGUCAACGGCAGAUGCUAAGCCCCAAAAGAAACCACUCAGGCAAGACAUAAUGGCAGAUAAUUUAGUCAUAUCCAAUGAGUUCUGACCAACAUUUGCUCUUUUAUCAUGGAAAGACUCUUCCAGAGAACAAAAUAAGCUUUGUGUCUCUUCUUUCAUACUCUGUGCAACAAGGCAGAUGCUUUUCCAGGCUUCAGAAUGUUUAGAAGGAUCCCAACAAGAACCUGGUUCAACUAAAUUUGUCUGCCCCGGGCCAAUGUCAGAACCUUCUUUCUCUUUACAGUACCAUGUAGACAUUAUAAUCGAGGAAAGUGUUUGACAAAAGUAAUACUCGCUAAACAUUAGGAAUAUAUAUGAUGUGUGGUCCAUUAAAGACAGAUUCUCUUUGCAGGAAUUAUAUUCUCCACAUUCAUCUUGAAGCCCACUCACAACAACUACUGACUUGAAAAGCCAUACAAGGGAAAAUAUUCCUUCAGAUAUAAGGGCACUCAACAGAUGUUCAGUUAUUUCUAUAUUAUCGCUGAAAGAUGCUUCAACUAAAUGUUUUAAAGCCUUUCGACAGUACAAGAACAACUUUAAGUGCUUAUUAUGCUUAGAUGAGAAUGAGACAUCUUGAAAGUCCAGUAAGCUGCUAGCUGCAAGUCUGAGAAAGAAAGGAACCAGUUAAUCCUCAAAGAAAAGCUAAAAGGCAGACUAAACAACAAGCUUUUGAUCUGUUCAGAUUAACUUAUUUAUGCAAGAUGAGGUAAGACUGCAACUUUUAAAGGGACAAAUUUAUCAAGUAAGCUCAGUCCAGCUUUUAUGUAACUUAACUCCCAAAGCUAAUGCCAAAAAACAUGUCGCAUCAUGAACACUUUUAAAUAAGAAACAUAGCACUAUAGGCGUAAACUACAGAUUUCCCCUGAUGCAUCUUCAAUGAUUUCUCGCAUCACAUUUACGUCUGACUCAGGUUAAGAAUGCUCAAAGAGAGGCAUUUUGGCAGAGGAGAAAACGGGCGACUAGUAAAACUAAGAGGAGUAUAGAGGAGUAUAGCUGCAAUUGUCUCUGAUAUGUUGUGAAUGCCAAUUCUUUUCUUUCCUUUUCUUUUCUUUUCUUUUUUGGCCAACAAAUGCCAUUUCCUUAUUCUACAACAAAUAUACAUACACAGGUUUAAGACUCUCAAAUCUUGUGAUUAAUGAAAGAACUCAAUCAGAACUUGUAUGAAUGCCAUUUGAAAUGAAGACAAAGAACAACAAACAACUCAUCAUUUGAGAAUUGUAUUGACAACUAAUAAAGGCCAAACAAAGCUACAAUAUAAAUCACAAAACCAGAUGUCAAGAGUUUUGAAACUUCUUUCCAUACAGUCAGUAUGUGAGAUCAUUGUUAACAAAUUUUAAACAAACAAUGAAUCUCAGCCAGAAGUUGUGUUGAACAACUGUAGAUUGACAGAAACCAAGUUUACCUUUCAAUGUUAAUAAUGUGAGUUGCAUAGCGCUUGAAUGAUCUUGAACUUAAGUAGUCUUUUGGCAUCCGACUAAAAAGAUUAAGCAAAUCCAUGCAAGCAGCAAAACUCAUGCUUUGAGAUGUUCUUAUUUCAGCACAAUUAUCAAUAGACUCUUUAUUGAAUGAGGGAGCAGUCUGCUUCGAAUAAUAGCUGCGGCUUUUGCUGCCUGAAUCAACCGAUACUGACUUCUGAAGUUCCAUUAGACAAUGAGACCAAUUAGGUGAUGAGCCAAGAUCAACUUUCUUAGAUGAAGCACUGCGAAAUAAUGACCCUGCUAACUUCUCCAUCAAAUGACAAAGCCUUGAUGCCAGGUGCCUGUGGACAAACUAAUGCAAACGACGAUUAGAAUCCCUAGACAAUGAAAACACAAAAUAAGGAUAGGUAAAGGAGUGUACAUAGUAAAGAAAAGGACAUCUUGGCAGACAAAGACACAUGAAAACACAAGGAAAAAGUUGUCUCUUCAACAUGCUUUUGCAAUUGAACAUAGAAUGAGUAACAUGGGCAAUUUCUUACUUUAUGCUCAUGAAAAGUAGAGUCGUGUAGAACUUCGUAUGAGAUUUGGUGAACCGACUUGUAGAGCAUCUCACUGGGAUUUUCGUACUUGAAAGGAUUUUCAGUUAUCGCAGGAAGAGAAGAUUGAAUCAAAAAGUAGAGGAACAUCUUCAUGUUCUUUAUAGAAGCAUGAAUACACCAGAUAUCUAUGCUCUGGCAUAUGAUCCACCAAAUUGCAGUGAGCAAUGUUUUUUCAUUUAGAGAGCCCAGACCAAAAUCCCACUGAUUACUUACAAGUGGAGACUGGGCACAUGGAUUAGUGUUUGCCUCAGAAUAAGUGGAGAAUAAUGGAUCAUUCACCAGAAAAGUCAGGUAUCUCAUUACAAAAUCAGCAAGGCCUUGUGCUUCUUGUCUCAUGUUUACAACAUUCUCUUCCCACUUUUGACAUAUUCCACACAGAGUUGAAUGGUCGGCAACGUCAAGGGAAAUGUUACACAGCAUUUCCUUCUUGCUUUGUAGCACAUACCCAGCAGAUUUUAUCUGCCUGUUCAAAUCAACCAGUCUCUGAAGUGCCAUGGCAUACAAUAUGUAAACCAGACAACAGCAAUCUGCAACUCUAUUUUGAAGAUAAAUAUCGGAUACAGAUUGAAUAACAGUCAGAACAGAAGCUGAAGGUUUGACAACCCAUGAAAAAUAGACAUCAUCUGGCAAAUCAUCCCUCUCAGUCCAAUCUUUUCCGGAACAUGAUGUAAAUGAAUCGCCCAUAAAAGCUGACAUCUUUAUUGAUGAAUUUGGGGGCAUAAGGCUUAUUGCUUGUCGGUAUAGGCUUCGACAAGACAAGUACAAUCGAAAGAAGAACACAAAAGCCCAAUGGCUGGACAAGCCAAACUUCUUUGACAUAAUUUUCUUAAUCAAUUUCUUAUCAAAAUUUCUUCCUGAUAAUGACAAAAGGAACUCACUUAAGCUUACCGACUGUGGUUCAACCAAACUACUCAAGCUAGGACGUAUUACUGCCAUCAAGUUGUUUAUAGAAGAUCCAACUGCCACACUGUUGCUGGCUGUCACAGUGAUGGAAUCUAGUAAACAACUGUAUAUCUCAGACAAACCUUUGCCCAACAAUUCACAGUACAGGUUGAAGCUAAUUAUAGCACAUCUUUGUGAAUUCCUGCCACCAGAUUCUUCCCCAACAUUCUUGGAGCAACAACGUUUUAUCCAUAUCAGAGAUUCUGAUAUAUCUUCUGCUAAUUGCUGAAUGCAUCCACUUGCUUGCCCCUCUGGUAUGGAUGAAAUAGCUUUAUGAACAGACACCUUAAAUUCUUGUGAACACAGUAACAUUCCCACUGAUUUAACAUAUGCCUCAUAUGAGGCAUGAGUGCCAACAUCCAUUUUAGGAUUGAUCUCACCAUCAACCGNNNNNNNNNNNNNNNNNNNNNNNNNNNNNNNNNNNNNNNNNNNNNNNNNNNNNNNNNNNNNNNNNNNNNNNNNNNNNNNNNNNNNNNNNNNNNNNNNNNNNNNNNNNNNNNNNNNNNNNNNNNNNNNNNNNNNNNNNNNNNNNNNNNNNNNNNNNNNNNNNNNNNNNNNNNNNNNNNNNNNNNNNNNNNNNNNNNNNNNNNNNNNNNNNNNNNNNNNNNNNNNNNNNNNNNNNNNNNNNNNNNNNNNNNNNNNNNNNNNNNNNNNNNNNNNNNNNNNNNNNNNNNNNNNNNNNNNNNNNNNNNNNNNNNNNNNNNNNNNNNNNNNNNNNNNNNNNNNNNNNNNNNNNNNNNNNNNNNNNNNNNNNNNNNNNNNNNNNNNNNNNNNNNNNNNNNNNNNNNNNNNNNNNNNNNNNNNNNNNNNNNNNNNNNNNNNNNNNNNNNNNNNNNNNNNNNNNNNNNNNNNNNNNNNNNNNNNNNNNNNNNNNNNNNNNNNNNNNNNNNNNNNNNNNNNNNNNNNNNNNNNNNNNNNNNNNNNNNNNNNNNNNNNNNNNNNNNNNNNNNNNNNNNNNNNNNNNNNNNNNNNNNNNNNNNNNNNNNNNNNNNNNNNNNNNNNNNNNNNNNNNNNNNNNNNNNNNNNNNNNNNNNNNNNNNNNNNNNNNNNNNNNNNNNNNNNNNNNNNNNNNNNNNNNNNNNNNNNNNNNNNNNNNNNNNNNNNNNNNNNNNNNNNNNNNNNNNNNNNNNNNNNNNNNNNNNNNNNNNNNNNNNNNNNNNNNNNNNNNNNNNNNNNNNNNNNNNNNNNNNNNNNNNNNNNNNNNNNNNNNNNNNNNNNNNNNNNNNNNNNNNNNNNNNNNNNNNNNNNNNNNNNNNNNNNNNNNNNNNNNNNNNNNNNNNNNNNNNNNNNNNNNNNNNNNNNNNNNNNNNNNNNNNNNNNNNNNNNNNNNNNNNNNNNNNNNNNNNNNNNNNNNNNNNNNNNNNNNNNNNNNNNNNNNNNNNNNNNNNNNNNNNNNNNNNNNNNNNNNNNNNNNNNNNNNNNNNNNNNNNNNNNNNNNNNNNNNNNNNNNNNNNNNNNNNNNNNNNNNNNNNNNNNNNNNNNNNNNNNNNNNNNNNNNNNNNNNNNNNNNNNNNNNNNNNNNNNNNNNNNNNNNNNNNNNNNNNNNNNNNNNNNNNNNNNNNNNNNNNNNNNNNNNNNNNNNNNNNNNNNNNNNNNNNNNNNNNNNNNNNNNNNNNNNNNNNNNNNNNNNNNNNNNNNNNNNNNNNNNNNNNNNNNNNNNNNNNNNNNNNNNNNNNNNNNNNNNNNNNNNNNNNNNNNNNNNNNNNNNNNNNNNNNNNNNNNNNNNNNNNNNNNNNNNNNNNNNNNNNNNNNNNNNNNNNNNNNNNNNNNNNNNNNNNNNNNNNNNNNNACGCGAUUUGCGUGCUUCUGAGCUCAAAUUAACCAAGCUAUAAUCUCUCUCAGAAUUUAUAUCACUAGCCAUCGAUAGCAUUUUAGAUCUAGGACCAAAUAAACCAUGUUCCAGUUGUUUUGAACCUUCACUAACUGUUGAUGCACUACUCCCUUCUAUUGGCAUGGAAGCUCCCCUGAGUUUUCUUACUUGCUUAACAAGCAAAUGAAACAGUUUACUCACGCCUUUCAAUGCCAACAUCUUCUUUGAAGUCAUAAUUUUUUCCAGUUCCUCAAAUAAAUGUCUAUGGUAACUCAUAACGAUGAUCUUUGAGUCUUUUGACUUUCCUUCACCAGCAGUGACAUACUUGUCAGAGCUAUGCAAAGUCAAGAAGCCCUCAAUAUGAAUUGGAUGGAACACCCCAUUUGACAAAACUUCAUCGACUGACCUCAAAAGGUUGCCAGUGAGACCAGGAUUAUUUCUGUUGCCACGUAGAUGACCGAACAAUUGCAACAGUGGCUCAAGAAGUUUAUGUACAAAGUCACUAAAACCACUUUUCCGAGUCGGGUGAAUCCUCAAAAAUUUGGCAAAUGGACCAAGUACAAAGCAGGAGAACUGCAGAACCAAAACACCUGCUUUCCUGCUGUCAAGACUCUCCGUAAAAAUUCUGUUGACGAGCUCAAUCACCGUAUGAACAGUUGAAAUCCAUUGCUCCAAGCUUUCAUUUGACGUGACAUUGUGAGAACCAUAUAACAACGAAACACAAUCAACCAUAAGAUUGAACAACUCAAACCCUUCGUCUGUAAGGAAGGACUCUUCUGCAUGCAUGGGUGAAUCAUUGAGCCUUAAUAGCACAUGCCUUGCAAUAAACUGGAUAGGUUGCAAAAGCUUUUGGGAAAAAUUCAAAGGAAUUUGCAAUCUCGAUGACUUCUCCAGGCAGAACUUGAAAAUCUCCCAGCAUCUCGCAUCUAAACACGCCUUAACUACAUCAUGCUGUUCUCCAUCAAGCUUGACUUUCUUUGCCGAUGAAAUCAACAGCGACUGGAUCCAGUCACUGAGAAAGACUAUCACACGGGACAGUUUCACCGUAUCACAAUCUUGUUCAGGCCCAUCACCCCCUUCUUCGCCUCUCGUUCUGACAUAAUCUAGAGCAAUCUCCACCUUCCUGCAUUUAAUAUUCAUUAUCAAGCCAACAUACUCAAAGGUCGUUUUUUCGAUUAUUUGCGAAAAUUCAACCGUUUUUUUUUUUUUUUUACAGCUUCCAAUUUUGUUUUCCUUCUCAACGCCUGUUCUAAAUCUUCAAAAAUGGAAAGGCAGAGCAGAUUGAUUUCCAGAUUAAGUUCAAAGCACAAAACAAAUUCUCGGAAAUCCUCGACGUCAUCAAUAAUAAGCAUCACCGCGACCAAGUUCACGGCAAGCACAUCGUCGCCGCUCUUCUUCAUCAUCCUAAUCGCAACCCAAGCAUUUGUCGACCUCCACCGCGUCCGCGCACAGACUUCCACGCCACAAAUACAACACCAAGCGAAGUCACAAGAGCGAUGGCGAGAGAGAGAGAGAGAGAGAGACUAACUUUCCGACGUCGAUGUCCUUGCUCUGCAGCGAGAGAAUCAACUGCAGGUUCCGCCAGGGACGAUCCUCCGGCGCCUUCGGACGACUGGCCUCCUCGACCGGCGCCGGCGGCCCUUCGACAUCGUCCGCGGAAUCGACGCGGCGCGACUUGAUAGGUCCCGACGAGCUCUCUUCUUCCGCGUGCUUGAGCCUCUGCCUCUUCUUCUUCUUGCCGGUCGAGUGCUUAGCUCCCGACUUCGCUUCUUCCGCCAUUGCCGACUUCAUCCGUGAAAUUGCAGAGGGAGGGAGGGAGGGGUUUAGAGGACGGAGCACGGCGGAGGAAGCAGUCCGUUGCAGGGUUUAAGCCGGGUCAUGGGCAAGUCGGGCUCGAAUCGGGCCGGGCCCCGAUGGAUAUUGGAGAAGGGCAAUUUUUUUUUCCCCCAAGCAAAGGUAAUAAUCGCAUGAUAAAAUUUCUACUUCUCUAUUUUUUUAUUUUUUUAUUUUUCGAAAUAUGUUUAGAACGGAAAUCCGUUUGGUAACGCAAUUUGAUUUUUCUAUUUUUAGAACAGAUUUCUAUUCUAAAAAUAGAUUUGAAAAAUAAAUCAGAAGCUAAAAUUUUUAACUUCUUAAUUUCUAAAAUAUAAAUUAAGAAAUCAAUUUUUGACCAGAAAUUAAUUUCUAGAGCAAAAAUUUUGUUGUGUGCACCAUAAUGGUCCUUGAAAUUUAGCUCGGUGUGUAAUAUAGUCCCUGAAUAUUUGGUAGAUGUUCAAUUUAGUUAUGAACUAUAUGAAGUAUUUAAUGAAUUCAAAUUCAGAGACAACAUUAUAUGUUUCCAUAAAGUGCGAGGACUAAAUUAAACAUGUAUAAAAGUUCAUGAAUUACAUUAAACAAAUUUAAAAUUCAAGGUUUACAUUAAAUAAUUAAAUGGUUUAAGGACUACAUUGUACAAUGAGAUAAAGUUUAGGGACUAUAUCGUAUAUUAAAUUAAACUUCAUGGCCAUUUGUGUUUUUCCGUCUGGGUGAUUGUAUCAAGUUAUUUUAAGAGAUUGUGUACAAUAUGCUUUUGGAGUGACUUAAUUCUAAUGAAUCAUUUAGUGAUGACCCGUUGGUAUAUGAUGAGGAGACACCAAAUGAACUUUCAAGAGAUAAGCCACGCAAAUUUUACGAGACAGAAUGGUAUUUUUACGAGUUAUAGAUUUCCAAAAGAAAAUUUUCAUCAAUGGAAAGCAAAGUUUAAGCUAAUUAUCAAAGUCAUUGGAUAAUUAUUAGUAUUAAUAUCAUUAAAAAUGCUAAAUUGCUUCUGAAUUAUAUAUCCCAAAUUAAUUUAUAUCUCACAAAAAAUCUCAAAGUUGUACUCCAUUACAUGGUUGUCCAAAUUUAAUUUUCGUCUCACGUAGAAAAACCAAAACCAGUACACUUGACCUAAUUCUACCAUCAAUUAGUAUUUAGCUCGAUAUCUUGCGAAAGUAAUACGCGUCAUGUGGCAAAAUGGAUCUAACGUGAAAUACUAUUGACAUGCGUGCAUUUUAAAGAAGUUAGAUUUAGGUCAGGAUAUGGAUUCGAGAUAUUUCGCAAGACUCAAAAUAAUUUUGAGAAAGCAUGUCAUCUGGCAAACCAGAGAACUUCGAAUUGAAAUAGUGCUGAUAAAGUCGGUUAAGAAGUGAAGACAAAGAUUAAAGGACAUCCUAGAAAUUAUGGACACGAGAGGCAAGUUCUAUAACUUAACUAUUUAAUUGGUAUAAAAUAUGAACAAGUGCACUGGCAAUCCUAAAAGUUAUCACAAAAAUACAAUUAAGUCAUAAAAUUUUCAAAAAAUGCAAUCAAGUUAUAAAUAUUUUAAAAUGUACAAUUAAAUCAUAAAACUUAUUAUGAAAAUACAAUUGAAUCCUAAAAUUUUUAAAAAGUGAAAUCAACUGAAUGAGAUAAAUUUGACAAAUUUUAGAGCUUGGUUACAUGAACUCAAUUACACUUGAUGAUAAAGUUAAGAAUUUAAUUACACUUUUUUGAAAUUUUAAAAUUCAAUUAUACUUUCGUAAUAAAUUUUAGGAUUUCAAAUAUAUUUGUUCCCGUGUAAUAACAUACCUAUAUAGGUAGAAAAAGGCCUAUUUAGUGUCACAGCCCAGCCCAACAUACUUGUUUAUAUGAUCCUAUUAAGUAUCAGGGAGAGGGAGAGGAUGGAUUCAUGCUCGCUGCGCCCUGCUGCUUGACCUUUCUAAUUGUCUACCCUGUGCAUCCUCAUCGAGAACCAGAGAGAUCCUAGAUGGGUUACCAUCACCAUCACUACCAGAAAUGCAGACCAUACCAGAAAUGCGGACCUCCAGGACCUAUGCCAUACCCAGUUCUCCUCUUCUUGGCCUUGGUCUUCCUCUUCAUCGCCUUAUCAAAACUGAUAUCGUUCGACCUCUUCCAACCUCCUGAGAUCAAGAUCAACUGGGCGCUCUUGUUCGUUCCUAUAGCCAUCCUAGCCUUGGUCCAGUGGCUUUCUUCCCCGUGUUGCAGUCGCAGGAACACCCGCCGAUGCUACUGCCGUUAAAUCGCCGCCGUCCCUGUUGGUCAAUGUUCGUCGCGACUCCUGAGAGCGUCUGCGCUCCGGUACUUACUCGUGCGCAUGAAAUUACUUCUGGUUUUUAUAGCUAUGUAAUCUAUACAUGUCUACAAGCUAAGAGCUGGAGAAAGCGGCUAUGAGGUUCUUGUUUUGUCGUAGCUGCAAACAGCGUAAAGAAAUUAUCUCAACCGAUACUGAUCUGUUGAAUUGCUAAGGUAAUUUGCGUUUGUGUAUGCUCUCUCUUUCAACUGAAUUCUGCACGACAGUCCCUUUGGAAUGGAUUUCCGUCGCGGUGUCUGUCCCACCUUCAGAGGUUUCAUUCUCCAGAGCGCCUGGAAACUUAUUCGGAAAGAUGAGUCGAAUACUUAUUCCGUUUUCGUUUAUAGAAAAACAAGAUUAUUUUCCCGAUCAAGCCCGAUAAAUGCCGACGCUCAUUUGGGGAACUGAAUUAGCUACACUCAAAUUGUCGUGAGAACUAUCGAGCCAUGGCGAUCUUCUUCCCCUUUUGUUCAUGUUCUGCAGAUUGUUUUUUCCUUGAGUUUGCCACAGGUUGAUAAUUUUCUUUCAAUUAAGGUCAAAAUUGAAUGAUAAUGACUACCAAGUUAAGUUCCAU
rnacentral:lncRNA from 1 species